rnacentral:lncRNA from 1 species
AUUAUUCAAACUUUAUGAACGAUCAUCACGAACAAAUAUUCUAUGUCGAACUUUGAUAUAAGCGUUUGUCAAAUUAGCAGGUUGACACUAUAUUCCGGGCUAGAUGAUGUGGGCUCUAAGCCCACUAAGUAUAUGAGAUUGGGAGGAUUUAGGUCUAUUCGAUAUAUUUACAUUUUAAUUAAAGUAAAGUGACGAGAAUUAUAAAAAAUAAUAAUAUAAAAUAUCUAUUUUCAAGCUACUUCUGGGCUAAGCAUUCUCUUAUCUAUAAAUAGGGCACUGCCCUCUCUCAAAACAGAUCUCAGGAGUUAGGACCAACUCUAAAUUCCCCCAACUUUCAAAAGCCUCCUUUGAUCUCACUCUCCAGUGCACCCUUCCGACAACACUAAGAAAAAAUUUCCUCUUCACUCAUUCGCAUAUUCCUCCAUCCAUGGAAGCUUGCUUCCUCUAAACACUUCUAUACCCCUGUCAAGAAACCAGAAACCAAUAACUAGUAAGAUAACAAAAGCAUAAUGAGCACUUAUACACCAAGAAUCCAUAGAGAUGCUUGAAUUUCAGAGCCUAGUGUUUCGAAAUUCAACUAUUUUUAUCGAUUUUCUUCUAUACAAAAAGAGCUUAGUUAUCCGUAAAUUUCAAUCUAACUUCAAUUACUAUGUAUUAAUAUUUUUCUUAUCUAUAUAUAUACUAACAUUAACUAACAAACUGACACUUCUUUUGCUGACUAAACAUUAUAUUCACAACAUGUUUAAUUUGAUUAUCACUGAUGUUCAUUACAAGUCAUACACGCAGCAACACUUACUAUCUUAGCAACCCUGCACAUUAAUCCCCCCCCCCCCAACCUAAGAUAAUACUUACAUUGCUUUAGCUUUGAUUCUAUUAUCACCUACAAUGGCAUCGAUUUCAGUGUAAACUAAUCAUUUAUGCUAGUCUUUAUUUGUUGGUCUACAACAGCCAAGUCAAAUACUAUGAUUUAGCCACUAGUACACACGAAGAUCAAAGUCAACAGUUAUAAAUCAAACCCGAAAUCACAAAACCAGCAAUUUACCUCCUCUGAACUCAGAUUUCAUCCAUGUCCGUGUCUACUGAUCUCCUCCGGGGGAAGCAUAAGCGUCAACCCAGAUCCAAUCUAUCGAUUUGCUUAUCCUUUUGCAAUAUUAGGAACUGGUGUUAAGAAUAAAUCAAUCGGAAAAUAAAAGUCAGAAUCUAGUUUGUAAUCUAACCGUCCAAUUAAAAAAAGAUUAAGAUCUGAAUUUGAGAAAAAGAGAGAAUUAGAGAACUAGAAGGUCGUGAGAGGAAACGAUGUACAUUUUCUCCUUGUACUUUUCCAAUCAACGACGGCUUCCAGAAACGGCUACCGACGAAAAACUACGGGAGAAGAGAAGACCAGCGGCGGCAACGCAGAUCCGACGAAGAGUCCAUGGUAGUAUAACCAACCUCAAACGGAGAGCGAAGAUUUUUGUUUUGAGAGGAUCUUAAAUCAACUUCUGGCGGCUUCCCGCGGUGAGACAGACUGCAGCCGCUAAAAAGAGCGAUGAAGAGACGGCAGUUCUGACCCGAUAACGGCGAUCUACGACAGAGGCAAGGGUUGAUCGACCCUGAUAAUCAACAUAAAAAGAUGAAGGUAAUAUUUUAAGAGUUCCUCUUUUGGUUUAUGUUGUACAUAUGCAUUUUUUGGACAUGGUCAAACUUCUCGAUAUGGGGAGUGAUUAUAUUCAACCAGUUUCAACCGUAUUCAACCAUCAUAGCUGUCACCAAACAUGGAGGGGCAGCUUGGGUAUUUCAAAACGUAUUUUAUUUUUAAUUUUAAUUUCAGCACUUCCUUCGCCAACGACGUCAAUGCCUCUCCACCACCUCGGAUUCAUCGACGGCUCCUCCUCCACAUCUGAUUCGUCAACGAACGCCAUCACCUUCGAUUUGUAGACGUAGGCACAUAGCCACCCGAAUGAGAUCCUCCUCCACCUCUGAUUCCUUGGUGAUGAAAGUCUCUGGUGAUGAAAUUAGAAGUGAGAUGGAGGAGUUUUGGGACUUCUGAUAAUGAAAUAGGAAGGGAGGAUUAAAUUUGAAGAAGAGUUGAUGAAGGAAUCAGAGUGGUAGGAGGAGUAGAGGGUUCUCCGGGUGGAUUGCGACGACGGCGAUUUCCACCGGGGAAGAUGACUGGAUAAAGUCCAAUUUAGUCCCCAAUUUGUUUUACAAUUUCAGUCCACAAAUUUUUGUGAGUUACUUCUGUAAUCUGUGCUUUUUAAUUAUGUUCUACCGGGGCCCAAUAACUUCUUCAAUUAACACAAACUAGUCAAGGAUAGUUAUGAGACGACAUAAUCGAGUUUAGUGUCUAAGGUUUUAAAAAUGAGGGUCUAGAGUUUAGCAUUUCGGUUCUUAAUUGGGGUUUAUGACCGAUUAUAAUAUUUGGUUAACCGAUUAUAAUAAUUGAUUAUAACCGGUUAUAACUACUAUUUUAUAAUUUAUUGAUUAUAACGGGUUAAAACUACUAUUUACAACUUACGAUUAUAACCAAUUAUAUAUAACUACUAUUAAUAACUUAUUGAUUAUAAUCGGUUAUAUUAACUAAUUACAACUAAUUAAUAAUAGAUAGGGAAUAUGGUCAUUUUGCCCUUGUACUUUUCCCAAUCAGCAUUUGGCCCCCGCCCCAGUACUAUUCUAUUUUCCAUUUACGCCCCUGCACUAUGCUCACUUCACCAUCUAUUGGAUGUAAAUGAAAUGAUUUUUCAUUUCCUUCCUUUCCCGCCAAAUUCUACGACACCUCACCAUUAAGUGAAACGGUGCGCUCAAGCUUCAGCAAGGAUAAGAAGGAAACGUCACCGUUCCAAUCAUCUUCUCCAGCUCAUCGUCCUUUUCCUUUCUCUGCUCACCUCUGCUCACCUCUGCUCACUUCUGAUAAUUUCUGUUAGAGCUCUAACGCUCCUGGCCAGCUAAUGAGCUGUGCAACUUGUCGUCUUCCAAUUCCAUAACUUGUAUAUGAACCAAUGAUUCAAUCAAUGAAAAAGGUGAGCUGAAUUUCUUUAAUUCCAACCAAAUUAACAUGGUAUCAGAGCGGAAUUGAAAACGCCAUGGCUGCAGCAGAAUACCCUCUAGCUGAUCCUUACUACCUUCAUGGUAGUGAGCAACCUGUCACCACAAGUAAUUACACUGACUGGAGUAGAGCGAUACACAAUGCCCUUGGAGCAAAGAACAAGGUUGGCUUUAUUGACGGAAGCAUUGGAGAACCAGAGGUUGUAGAUGCAAUGUUCUGGCCCUGGACUAGAUGCAACAUCAUGGUGUUAAGCUGGCUACAGCAGUCAGUCGAGCCAGGCAUCAGAAAGACAAUAAUGGGACUAAAGAGUGCUCAAGAUGCCUGGGAGAGCCUCAAAGCACGCUAUGGACAAGGGGAUGUCAUCAGGAUUGCAGAAAUCCUUGAGCAACUUUCAAAUUUGAAGCAAGGUAACCAGACUGUAACUGAGUACUAUGGUUCAAUCAUCACCCUUAGGGAUGAACUCAGAAACUAUCAACCUCUUUUUAACUGUGAAUGCACUGCCACAAGUCACCUCGAUUGCUUGGCAAUGAGGAAGGUCUAUGUCUAUGAGGACACCAACAAUGUGAUUCAUUUUUUGAGAGGCCUAAAUGAGAACUUUGCUGGUCCUCGCACUCAAGUGCUUUUUGGUGAUGAACUCCCUAACAUUGAUAAGGUGGUUCAACGUAUGAUACAACAUGAGAGGCAGCUGUAUGGAACACAGUUCAAGGCUACUAACGAGCCUAUGACACUGCUCUCCCCAUCUGCAAGCAUCAACUAUGCAGGACAGCAAGCAAAUUUUCAUCCAAUGCCUCAGAAGGGAAGAGUGCUGUUUUACACAUUCUGCAAAAUGCAAAACCAUACAGUGGACAGAUGCUUCUUCAAAAAUGGCUUCCCUCCAGGAGUCACCCCUAGACCUAUGCCUCAACCAGGAGCAAGAGGACCAACAAACAACAAGCCUGCUUUUACUCCAAAUCAUGGAGCCUACAAACCACAAAUACAUGCAGCAGCACAAUCCAGUGAAGGAGGUGCUAUCCAACUCACGCAAGACCAAUUCUCACAACUCAUGAAUGCCACGAAGUUCAAAGAUGGAGCAGGAGCAAGCACCUCCAAUCCUCAACCAUCAGGUGCUCAUAAGCAAACUACACUGAUGUAUUCAACAGGCAAGUUCUGUGGUAAUAGUUUUAUGCAUUCCACACCAGAUGAGGUUGUUUGGAUUGUAGACACAGGUGCAUCAGACCAUGUUGUGAGCUCACUUGCACUGAUGACAUCAAGCAAGCAAAUAGAUGCCUUGAUGAUCACAUUGCCUACUGGACAGCAAGUGCAAGCAACUCAUACUGGAACAGUGUCAAUAAAUGACAGUUUGUCACUCCAGAAUGUCCUAUAUGUUCUUGAUUUUGCUUUCAAUUUAUUCUCAGUAAGCAGGCUCACGGCUCAACAACCCCUGAGGCUAACUUUCUCUUCCACGCAUUGUGUAUUGCAGGACCUGUCGAGGAACACAACAAUUGGUUUAGCUGAACUACACAAUGGACUGUACAAGCUGAUAGCCUGCAAACCAGUUAGUCACAUCGCCUCCACUCAAAGAAAUAAGCCUUUUGAUUUAUGGCACUUUCGUCUAGGACAUGUUUCACAUCAUAGAACUCCUUUCCUUAAGCAGCUCAAUCCUAGGAUAGAGACUUUCCCUCUAGCUCCCUGUGAUGUCUGCCAUUUUGCUCGACAGAAGCGUUUAUCAUUUCCUCAAAGUUUUUCCAGUACUAAAGUUCCUUUUGAGUUAAUUCAUACUGAUAUUUGGGGACCAAAUGCUUGUCCCUCACAUGAUGGUUAUCUUUACUUCCUCACUAUUGUUGAUGAUUACACUCGCAUGACCUGGAUCAUGAUGCUUAAGUUAAAAUCAGAAGCCAGACCCUCACUACAAAAUUUCUGUUCCCACGUCUUAAACCAAUACAAAGCUAGUGUUCAGCGGAUUCGCACUGAUCAGGGGAAGGAAUUCUCCAUGCCUCUUUUCUAUCACGAAAAGGGAAUCUCCCAUGAAAUGUCAUGUGUUGAAACUCCCCAACAAAACAGCAAAGUCGAAAGAAAACACCAACAAAUCCUAAACAUUGCCAGAGCCCUCAAGUUUCAAGCCAAUUUGCCCAUAACUUUCUGGUCUGAUUGUGUCAAACAUUCUGUCUUUCUUAUGAAUCGAAUUCCUACCCCUGUCCUGAACAAUAAGACACCUUAUGAAGUUCUACACAACAUAAAGCCUAAACUAGAAGAGCUGAGAGUUUUUGGUAGCCUGUGCUAUGCCAGCACACUUGCAGGACAUAGAACCAAAUUCCAGAAACGAGCCAGAAAGGGAGUGUUCAUAGGAUUCACACCUGGAAUCAAAGGAUACAGGAUCUAUGACUUAGACUCACAUCAAACUUUUGUAUCUAGAGAUGUGCAUUUUUACGAAAACACCUUCCCCUUCCAUGAACAUAACCAGCCUACACCUGAUGUAACACCUUCUGUUGAUGUGCAUUUCAAUGAUCCAAUUGAUGACAUAAACCCUACUAACCCUUCUGCACCUCCUACGAUCCCCCCUGAGGCAGAACCAACACUUCCUAAUGAGCAUGACCAUUCCCCUAGCAGUGAUAGUGACGAAGAACCAGCCAUCCAACCCACUCAAUCUUCCCCACAAAACAGAAAAAGCACCAGAUCCCACAAACCACCAUCCUACCUGCAGGACUAUCACUGUCAACUCCUUGUGCAGCAAGGCAACGCCAACUGGGGUGCUCCAAAGGUAUGUCCUAAUCUGCAUAAUGCUGGAAGGGUGGUUCACCCUCUCAGUACAGUGCUUUCUUAUGAUGACUUAAGCCAUAACCAUAAGCAUUUUGUUUUGAGCAUAACUUCUGAAAAAGAGCCUAGAUCUUAUGCAGAAGCAGUUAAGGAUCCCAGAUGGAAUGCAACCAUGAAUCAAGAAACUCAGGCCCUUGAAGCCAACAGGACUUGGGAAGUUGUUGACCUACCUGUAGGCAUGAAGGAAAUUGGCAGUAAAUGGGUCUACAGAAUCAAAUACAAGUCAGAUGGCUCAAUUGAAAGAUUCAAGGCCAGAACUGUGGCAAAGGGUUACACUCAGGAGGAGGGUAUUGACUACCAAGAGACCUUCUCCCCAGUGGUGAAAAUGACUACAAUUCGAACCUUUCUGGCUCUUGCUGCUUCCAGGGACUGGUAUGUGCAUCAAUUGGACGUAAACAAUGCUUUUCUACACGGUGACCUACACGAGGAAGUCUACAUGAAACCUCCUCACGGUCUGAAAGUCGAUGGUUCAUUCAAAAGACCAGUCUGCAAACUGCUCAAAUCACUAUAUGGACUCAAGCAAGCUUCCAGACAAUGGUACUGUAAGCUCUCUGAUAAAUUGCAAGAAAUAGGAUACACACAAAGCAAAGUUGAUCACUCACUCUUCUUGAAAAACACUGGUAUGUCAUUUACAGCAGUUUUAGUCUACGUUGAUGAUCUGAUAGUUGGAGGAAAUGAUUUUUCUGAGAUUUCGAUGCUCAAGGAAGCACUGCACAAUGCAUUCAAAUUAAAGACCUAGGAGAGUUGAAAUACUUCCUAGGACUUGAAGUCGCAAGAGAUGUUACAGGAAUCCAUCUAUCACAAAGAAAAUACAUACUGGAGCUCUUGGAAGAAACAGAAAUGCUGGAAAGCAAACCAGUAGCUACACCAAUGGAUUACAAAACACACCUCUCCUCAAUAGGUGAUGAUGAUUUUGGCGACCCUGAGCUAUACAGAAGAAUAGUAGGAAAAUUGAUUUAUUUGAAUAACACAAGACCAGAUAUAAGCUUUGCUACGCAACAAGUAAGCCAAUUCAUGGCCAAGCCUUUGAAUGUUCAUUACAAAGCUGUUACAAGAAUUUUGAGGUAUUUGAAAGGGGUUCCUGCUACUGGAAUUCUGUUGUCUUCCACUUCAAGCCUUCAACUGCAAGCCUACAGUGACUCAGAUUGGGCAGCUUGUCCAGACACUAGAAGAUCAGUGACUGGAUAAUUCUUGUCUNNNNNNNNNNNNNNNNNNNNNNNNNNNNNNNNNNNNNNNNNNNNNNNNNNNNNNNNNNNNNNNNNNNNNNNNNNNNNNNNNNNNNNNNNNNNNNNNNNNNNNNNNNNNNNNNNNNNNNNNNNNNNNNNNNNNNNNNNNNNNNNNNNNNNNNNNNNNNNNNNNNNNNNNNNNNNNNNNNNNNNNNNNNNNNNNNNNNNNNNNNNNNNNNNNNNNNNNCCGGUGUUGGGGGGGGGGGGGUAUUGGAUGUAAAUGAAAUGAUUUUUCAUUUCCUUCCUUUCCCGCCAAAUUCUACGACACCUCACCAUUAAGUGAAACGGUGCGCUCAAGCUUCAGCAAGGAUAAGAAGGAAACGUCACCGUUCCAAUCAUCUUCUCCAGCUCAUCGUCCUUUUCCUUUCUCUACUCACCUCUGCUCACCUCUGCUCACUUCUGAUCAUUUCUGUUAGAGCUCUAACGCUCCUGGCCAGCUAAUGAGCUAUGCAACUUGUCGUCUUCCAAUUCCAUAACUUGUAUAUGAACCAAUGAUUCAAUCAAUGAAAAAGGUGAGCUGAAUUUCUGUAAUUCCAACCAAAUUAACACCAUCCGUCCCCUUCCAUUAUGGGUUUCGUUCGUAAGCCAUUAAAAUGGCAUGAUUAGACAUGACACGAAGGCUUUAUUUGUCACGAUAAUGCCACAUCAGCGAAGUGUUGUUUUUUAGAAACGAAUGGAAGGGGGUAAUAUUUUCCAAUGUGGCCCAAAACCCUUUGUACGUAUUCCCUUUCCCAUGAUAGAACCCUCCCCCUAGCUUCUCACAUCCGAUGGUGAUUUCCUUAUAUGUAUAUCAUCACCAAUUUCGUCCUUCACUACCGGCGACCUUGAAUUGUGGUCGUGGGCCCGUCUCCGAAACCCCCACCCCUACUUUCCCCUAAGCACCCCUUAAUCGAGAAACCCUAAUUUCCGGUUUGUCUUCAGUUGUCUACCGGAAUAGUGAAACCGAGUGUUAUUGUUGUAGAUUUGCUGUAGACAGACGAUAGUAGAGCGGAGGCUAUAUCAAGCAGGUAUAAGUAGUAAACUCAAUAGUGUGAAGUUUAUUUAUUUUGAAAGGAGAUGUUGUCAAAACAGUAGCCUUAUAAUAAGACUUAUUUCUUUUCUUCUUGAUCCAAAAUAAGACAAGAAGAAGCGGCUUUGUUAAAGUAGUCAACAGAGAAUUGUAUCUUCGUUCGAAACCGAAGCACACAAUACAUAGCUAAAAAUCGAGUGUUUGGCGAGUCGAUGACAAUAUGAGACGCGAGAAAAAUGAAGAUAUGUUUGACGAGAAUGACUCGGACUUUGAUGAUAACGAGUUCGAUAAUGAGUCCGAAAGACAAUGAUUUUGAACUUGAUUCUUGGACUAGUGAAGAAGAAGGAGAAGAUUUUUAAGCGAUUAGAAAGAAAGUGCAAACAGCCAAAGAAAAUUUAAAGGGGUUGUUUUGUUGGCUAACCAUAAUGAUGAUGCAUAUGAAAGUGAUAGAUUUGAUUCAGAUGAUAAUAGAUACUACGAUGAGGUGGACGCCAAGGGUGAAUGUAGAAGGAGGAAGAUCCCAUUUGUAAGGUACAAAAGAAAUACUGACAAGCCUUAUUUUGAGACUAUCACAACGCUUUCAAGCAUGAAGGAGAUAAGAAAAGCCAUUGAAAACAUGCUAUUAAAUAGAGAAAUCACUUAAAUUGGGUGAAAAAUGAUCCUACGCUUUCAAGCAUGAGUUGACGGUACGGGAUAAGAAGAACCAACGAAGAUGAGUCGAGUUGGUCGAGUAAUGACUUGCAAGACAUGCAAACAGGAUGGACACAACUCGAGGGCAUCUGAAUCCCGAUAGAAGAAUCAGGUUUGUUUUUCCUUAGAAAUUUCAUAUUAUGUUGUAAUUUUAACGUGGAAACGACCAAAUGUGAAUCAGGAAGGAAUCGUCAUUACUAUUGGGCUGCAUUACUUGUGUUCUCUAUUUACAGGUCAUGAAGCCCAAAACCAAGCCCAUACGAAUGAUGCUGAUGCUGGCCCAAACUAGAAUCAAGAGAGGACGCAAGGAGCUGCCGCUGCUGCAACUCUCUUGACCUAGCCGCGACUGAGAUGAGAAAGGAAAGAGGGAUUCUUCCUCGAAGCUUCCUCUGGCGUGGUUCAUCAGCAAGGGCAUCGUCUCGUAAACUAUAAAAGCGAGCCGCAACUUGCCUUCAUCCUUGCGCUUUUCACCUUUGAGAAGACGUGGGCUGGGAUGGCAAAUGCAGAGGGGCCUUUGUAUAGGAUUGCCGAGCUUCAACAAUCGUCAACCUGAUCGGAGAGUCGAGGACUACGGUGGACUGCAGCAGGAGGGUGCACCUGCGAUCGGAGGUUUUGAUUGGAGGUUGAAGACUUCAAGUGUUUAGGUCAUAAAGUCGCCGGGUUUCAUUUUAUCGUUUUGUUUUUAGUUCUUGCUACUGGUUCUAUUUCUGCAUUUUACCUUUGGUUCAGUAGCUAGUUAGAGUCUUGGGUUUUGAUUAAGUUUGUUGUGUAACUUGCUCAUCUGUGUCAAACUUAAUCACACUUUUGAUUCAUCUUGUGUUUAAUCCAAGUUGUCCUACUAUAUCGUUAGAAUUGCAUAAUAAGAUUAUACAUUGAUUGAUCUAGAAUUCUGACAGUAGUUCUUAGCUUGUAAUCAGCUUGUAAUCUAUGUUGCUGGUACUGUUAUUCCUAUCACGCUACGAUUGUGUUCAAUUGCCUUUCCUCAGGAACAGUGAUUCAUUCUUUAUUAACUUAAAGAGUUACAGAAACGUUUAGUUUGUUUAAUAGCUUAAGUAACUGUGUUAGGUUGAGAUAUUACUGCUCCUACAAUUACUUGGCUUCACUAUUAGGUUGAGUUUUAUUGGAAUAUAUUUCAGCCACUGCUCGUAAUUUCAUAAAGCAAUCUUACUUUGCAGACUUCUAGUUACAGUUGAUCGCGGCAGACGGAUCAGAUUACAACAAUUUGUGUCAAAAUAGAGUUAAAACUACAACAUUAGCAAGCUUAACACAUGAACCUCUAGUUCCAUUAAUUAAACGAGAUUGUGCAAGAUCUUGAAACAAACAGUUACAGGCUAAGUGCAAUCCUUCUCGACCGAAACACCUCGGCGCAAGCAGAAUACAUGUUAAGUUACCGAUUUAUACCUACCAACUCAGCCAAAACACUCGCUUGUUUCCUACAGCCAUACUUUGUGGAGAUAGCCUCAGCUACGCUAUGGUCUGUUUUCCGAAGCAAAAGUUUCACUCGAUUUUUCUAUUACUGUGGUGGAUUGAAGAUUCUACCAAAUAAUUGUCGAUUUAGGGGUUUUUGNNNNNNNNNNNNNNNNNNNNNNNNNNNNNNNNNNNNNNNNNNNNNNNNNNNNNNNNNNGGGGAGGGAGGGAGGGAGUUCGGGGAUGGGCCGAUGACGACGAGAAGGCCGGCGGCGUCGGAUGUGAGAAAAGUUGGGAGUCGAGACGAGAAGAGUCAAGAAAGAAGGAAAUGAUGACCAUGAGAAGGUCGGCUGUGUCAGAUGUGAGAAAGAUUGGGGUCAAGAAGAGAAGAGUCAAAAAAGAAGGAAAUAAUGUAUGCAAAUUAGGUGGACCAGCGUUCAAUGUUACAAUUGCUCAAAAUAUGGGCAUCAUGCCUGAGAGUGUUGGAGUCCGCCUAAGGAAGUUGAAGAAACGGUGAACAAAAUCGAAAAAGAGAUUGUAAAUGGCAAGGCGCUGCUAUCCUACUAGGGUGAAAAAGGCGCAGUGAUAACAUGUGGUACCUCGACAAUGCAGCAAGCAACCACAUGUGCGGGAAGAAGAACAUGUUCGUGGAGAUAGACGACAGAGUAAAUGGAAACUUAGUAUUUGAAGACUCGUCGAAAGGUUAAAUAAUCAAAGGAAGAGGUACGAUUCUAAUUCGUUCAAAACAUGGUUCUCACCAGUUUAUUAAUGAUGUCUACUAUGUUCCAAAAAUCACAUGCAAUAUAUUGAGUCUCGGACAAUUGCUACAGAACAAGUAUGAAGUUCCUAUGGUGGAUCGACAAUUGGAGCUACAUAAUGAUAAGGAGUUGAUUGCUAGAGUAGCAAUGUCGAAGAACAGAAUGUUCCCCUUGAUCAUCCAACUAGACAUGGUGAAAUGCUUGAAAACUUGUGUGAAGGAAGAUAACUGGAUAUGGGAUCUGAGAUCUAGACAUCUAAAUUUUGGAUGGCUAAAGUUACUAGGCCAGAAGAACAUGGUGCAUGGCUUAUCGAUCAUCAAUCACCCAGAUCAACUUUGUGAAGGAUGUCUUGCUGGAAAGCAAUUCCAGACAAGUUUCCCUAAGGAAUCGCAAUCAAGAGCAAAAGCACCACUCGAGCUAGUCCACACUGAUCUUUAUGGACCAAUAUUUCCUACUAUUUAUUGAUGACUAUAGCCGGAAGAAGUGGGUUUAUUUUUUGAAGGAAAAUCUGAAACAUUUAGAGCAUUCAAAAAGUUUAAGGUGCUUGUAGAGAACGAGAGUGGCUGCUACAUCAAAGCUCUAAGAUUAGAUAGAGAUGGAGAAUACAUGUCUGGAUACUUUAGAAGAUUUUGUGAAGAACAUGGAAUCAGGCACUUCCUAUAUGUCCCCAGAUCUCUCCUCAACAAAAUGGCAUUGUAGAGAGAAAGAACGAGACGGAACUCAACAUGGUGCAAAACAUGUUGAAGAGCAAGAAUCUAUCAAAGGAGCUAUGGGCUGAAGCUGUUGAACAGGUCACCAACAAGGAGCAUUUGAAUCAAACACCUCCAGAAGUAUGGAGAGGACGGAAGCCAAAUGUCUCUCACUUACGAGUUUUUGGAAGUGUGGGACAUGUGCAUGUACCAGAUGAACGAAGAACGAAGUUGGAUGACAAAAGCAAUAAGUUUUUGUUCGUGGGCUAUUUAGAGCACUCGAAGGGAUAUAAAUGCUCGACCCCCUACCAGAAAAGGUGAUCAUUAGCAGAGACGUAACUAUCGAUGAAGAUGCAAUAUGAGACUAGAAUGUGGUAUUCUUAUGACUCACUAUUCAUUUUUCUUUAAUAAACCAUUCUUUUUCAUUCAUCUCCUCAAUCAGGAGUGUAUUAGAGUGUGUUUGGAUAGGUGUAUGUAUUUACAUUUUGAAUUUCAGAGAAUUGAAAUGUAUGAACUUGAAAUUCUUUUUAAAUUGAAAUCAUGUGUUUGGAUGUUAAGUUAUUUUAUGUAUAUUUCAAAUACAAUACACAUAAUCUUUCAUCAAAACAAUACAUAAUUAUAUAAAAUAGCAAAGCUCUCACAUCACCAAUAGAGGUGAUAGGCGACAGAGCUAGCUAACACCCGACAGAUGAGGUUGUCGGUGGAGGUGGCUGGCGAUGGUGAUCGAUAGACGGCAAAACAGAGCUCUCACAUCACCAAUAGAGGUGAUAGGCGACAGAGCUAGCUAACACCCGACAGAUGAGGUUGUCGGUGGAGGUGGCUGGCGAUGGUGAUCGAUAGCCGGCAAAAGAGGUGCACGCCCGACGACAGAGGUGAUUCUUGGUCGGUGGAUCCAACGAAAGUGGAUAGCUAUAGUGCCUGAAGGCCGACGAUGAUGGUGGCCGGCGACGGAGGUUGUAAUGGAUGGCGAUGGAGGUGGUUGAAAAUGGUGGUGGACGACUGACGGCAGAGGUGACUCAUGGGUGAUGGUGAAGAUGGUCGGUGCCUGACAUAUGGCAGUGGAGGUGGUUGGGAUGUUAGCAUACGACCGGCAGUGGAGGUGAUUGUUUGCUGGCGAAUGGUGGUGGAAUUGGAUGGCGAUGGUGGCCUAGAACGGAGGUCAUCAACGGAUGGCGCUGGAGGAGGCUAGCGAUAGUGGUUGACGACCGACAGCGAAGUUUGUCGGUGGAUACCGUAUGUGGCGGUUUCCAAUCAUUGCCAACCGCUUGUCACCUCUUUAUUCUUGUAUAAGAAAAAAGCGUUGGAAAAUCGAUGGAAAUUUUUAUGGUGGCAGUAAAAAAUUGCCAUCAAACUUUUCGGUGAUUAGAAAAAACUCGCCGAAAAAUUUCGGUUAACAAAAGUUACCGGAAUUUCGGAUCCAAUCUCUGCAUUAGUUUGUUAAUUUCAAAUCGACCCAAAUGCAAAGGAUUUGAGCCUUACAUUUCAUUUUAAAUCAAAUAUAAAAUACAUGUUUCAUCUAUACACUAUUAUUGUUGUCUUGAACAAGACCUUCCUUCUUUUCACACUAUUACCGAUAAGAAAAGAAUGAAAAAAAAUUGCAUUAAAUUGUCAACUGAUCCUAUGGGAAAUAGGAUUGACUACGAAUUCAAGGCAUGGCACAUAAUUUCAUAAAAUUGUAUGCUUUUCCCGCCUCUUUUUGCUAAGCCCUUUUUCCUCGAUUCACGGAAACAAAAUAUAAGACUGGUGCCAAAUAGUUCAUCAAGGAAGAAAGAACCAUCGAGCCUAAAUUCUAUAUUAAUUCAAAUUAACUCAUAUGCUCCCGUUUUUAAUAAGAUUUAUGCUAAAAACAUACAAAUAUUGUAAUGGGCUUUUCCGUAAUAUUUAAAAUAUAAAAUGUAAACACACCUAUACAAACUCACCCUUAGAGUUUUGUACAAGGUGGACGACAAACCCCUAAAAGAGUAAAAGUAAUCCAAGAAGUAUUUUACACCUAUAUUUCGAAUCAUAAAAUUGUUAAUCGGACAAUCUAAAUUGAUGCCAGCAAAUGAAAUCCAAAAUUGCUUUUCAAGGAAAAAAACAAGAAAUCCAAAUCUGUACAAGGAGGACAUUGAAGAAAUGAAAUGAUGUCAGCAAAGGCAAGCUUUUGUGUUCAGAACAUAAUGUCCCCUGCACCAAAUCCCACCUAGUGUCCUACUCCAAAUCCCUUUUCACAAAUAUGGGUCGCUAUUCCUCUCUCUUGGUUCUGUCAUCGUAUUUAAACUUACCUUUGCUGACAUAUCAUUCAUCAUAAUCUACUCUAGCAUAUAUGUUUGAUCAUAUCUGUGAAAAAAACAGUAGCGCUUUGCACAGUUAUGGUCCAAAAAGGGGUAUCUAGCUACCUCCUGUAGUUAUUCCAAAUCCAACCUCGUUUCCCAUCCCUCCUCAGUCCUCUCUUUCCCUACUGUGAUAUUGGUGAACAAAAGAGUGUGAAAGAGAGAAACAAAGAAGAAGAAGAAGUAGAAGAUGGAGUUUCCAAGAGAGGAGGAUAUUGUCCAGCCACUCAAGUUCUUCAAGAUUAUACGUAGAGAAUCCCUGAAAGAUAAGAAACUAGUAAGUUCAGAUAUUCUGACUUGUUUUAUGCUUUUUUUCUCCUUUCUUUAUUUUCCCUUAAUAUGUUUCAUGGAUCAUAUAAGCAGAUGAUUCCUAGGGAGUUUGUGAGACAAUGUGGAAGGGACCUUAAAGGCAAAGCAACCCUUUUGGCCCCCGACGGUUUGAGAUGGGAUAUGAAGAUUGUCAAAGAUGAUGGUGAUGAUAGGAACCUCAAGUUUUGGUUCAAGAAUGGGUGGCAAGCUUUUGCUGAGUACUACUCCUUGUCCCAUGGAGAGUUCAUAUCUUUUCAGUACAAUGGUGGAAGAAACACCAGCUCGCUUGAGUUCUCUAUCACCAUAUUUGAUGAGAAGGCAGAGAAAGAGAGAGACUAUCCAUCAAUGGAGUGAGUAUUUCUUCUCUGCUAGUGAUGUUGCAGCUGCUACUGCUGUAUUGUGUCUGUUCAAGUGCUCUUGUUUUAGACAUGAAUAGGAGAAACCAAGACUCCUCAUCUGUUUCGAGUAGCAAGAAAUCGAUUAGGGUUCUUAACCGUUUCUGUUAGAUGAGAUGAGAUGUUUUGCAUUUCUGCAAGUUGUUGUAAGCUAAGUUCAAGACUUCAAAUGCAAUGUUAAUUGAUGUUUGUAAUGAAAAGGUUGGUUCAGAAAAUUAGCAAUGAGAGAAGAGCCAGCCUACACACAUACACUUCAUUAAACAAUGAUGGCAUUCGUCUGAGGUCGAGCUAAUUUCGGGAUGUGGCUUUUGGAGCGUCGUCUGGGGUUGUUGAUUAUGGUUUUUGUUUUGGGUUUUCUGAUGAUGAUGAUGUUCAUUUUAAUAGAGUUCUAUGGUUUUAAUGUGUUGGAUCUCCUGGGUGUUCUUUGACGCUGGUUUCUUGGUGCAAGUUGUUUAUCAACGAGAUGUUGGGGAAGGGAUUUAGUUCUUCAAAUGUUUUUGUUUGUGUCAUGGUUGCCCGAUUUAAAAUUUUUUGUAUAUAUUUUGAUUUAAAAUUUUGAAUCAAUUGUAUAUUAAUUUUUAAUAUUCAAUAAAUAUUUUUUGAAUGGAAUGAAAUUUAAAUUAAAUACAUAAAAUGGGUGUUAUUGGAUUCGAAAAAUUAUAAUGAACAAUAUUUGUGAAGAGAAUAAUAUAUUUUGAGUAAUUAAAAAAAUAUUAUGAAAGAAUAAUAAAUAAAAGGGAAAAAAAUUGGUGAAAGAUGAGUGAGGUGAGAUAUNNNNNNNNNNNNNNNNNNNNNNNNNNNNNNNNNNNNNNNNNNNNNNNNNNNNNNNNNNNNNNNNNNNNNNNNNNNNNNNNNNNNNNNNNNNNNNNNNNNNNNNNNNNNNNNNNNNNNNNNNNNNNNNNNNNNNNNNNNNNNNNNNNNNNNNNNNNNNNNNNNNNNNNNNNNNNNNNNNNNNNNNNNNNNNNNNNNNNNNNNNNNNNNNNNNNNNNNNNNNNNNNNNNNNNNNNNNNNNNNNNNNNNNNNNNNNNNNNNNNNNNNNNNNNNNNNNNNNNNNNNNNNNNNNNNNNNNNNNNNNNNNNNNNNNNNNNNNNNNNNNNNNNNNNNNNNNNNNNNNNNNNNNNNNNNNNNNNNNNNNNNNNNNNNNNNNNNNNNNNNNNNNNNNNNNNNNNNNNNNNNNNNNNNNNNNNNNNNNNNNNNNNNNNNNNNNNNNNNNNNNNNNNNNNNNNNNNNNNNNNNNNNNNNNNNNNNNNNNNNNNNNNNNNNNNNNNNNNNNNNNNNNNNNNNNNNNNNNNNNNNNNNNNNNNNNNNNNNNNNNNNNNNNNNNNNNNNNNNNNNNNNNNNNNNNNNNNNNNNNNNNNNNNNNNNNNNNNNNNNNNNNNNNNNNNNNNNNNNNNNNNNNNNNNNNNNNNNNNNNNNNNNNNNNNNNNNNNNNNNNNNNNNNNNNNNNNNNNNNNNNNNNNNNNNNNNNNNNNNNNNNNNNNNNNNNNNNNNNNNNNNNNNNNNNNNNNNNNNNNNNNNNNNNNNNNNNNNNNNNNNNNNNNNNNNNNNNNNNNNNNNNNNNNNNNNNNNNNNNNNNNNNNNNNNNNNNNNNNNNNNNNNNNNNNNNNNNNNNNNNNNNNNNNNNNNNNNNNNNNNNNNNNNNNNNNNNNNNNNNNNNNNNNNNNNNNNNNNNNNNNNNNNNNNNNNNNACACAACAUUAAUUAACAUACUUUUACUUUUAAUCAGAGAUCUAGACUCAAUCAACAGGUUAUAAAUAAUGGCACAAAGACAUAUUAGUAAAAAUUAUACUAUUAGGUGAAAAUAUAUAGUUCAAAACUAUUUUGAAGUUGAAUAUACCAAAUAUAAAACCAUUUUAAAUUUAUUCAACUUUUAUCAUAUUGAGAUCCUGACAAAUUUAUAAGCUAGUGUAGCUGGUACCAUAAUAAUGCACAAGCUACUCAUUUCAUAGGAUUCUAUCUAAAAACAUAUUAAAUAGGAUAUUGUAGAAUAUCUUUGUUUUAAAAAUUUCAAACAAACAACGUUUAAAUUCAUUAAAUUUUCGACCAACCGGCGAUCUAGUACUAUCAUUUAUAAAUAAAUAAAAAAUAAUGGCAUUCGUCUUUUGACAGACUUCAACAUUCCAAUUUCCACCAAAACUCUUUUAAGUUUAACAACUGAACCAAUAAAUAAACAACAACAUUGGCAGCCCUUUUCACAAUACAAAUCAUAGCUUCCCAAUCCCAAGUGCUAAAGAAUCCAAAAGUAUCAAUCCAUCACCCAAAUUGGACAAGCAUCCCCCCUUUCCUUUCCAUUCCUUGUCCCAUUCUUUCUGGUUUGUAUUUUUUUUUUUUUGCCAAGUCUGAACUACUGUCUUCAACUCACCAAACUAAUAAUAAUUACACGCAUUGAAGCUUCUGUAGAAUUAGAUAUUCACAGGCUGAACCAGCACUUUUCUUUCUUUCUAACAAGUGUGGCUGCAGUGGAUGACCAAUGCCUCAGCUUACCUAGGAAGAUCUUGAAGCCGGAAGGCAUCAGUCCGUGUGUUGUAACAAGAACGAGAAGCCUGAGUUUUCACGGAUCAGAGGUGGAGGUUCAAUAUCAGCAACUUCUACUUGCUCAAUUGACUUGGAGAUGUCGUCUACAGUAAAUGGUAUGCUGCAUUUUGUAGUAACAACAAAGGGAAGAGGGUCUCUUUUGUUUAGUUUUCCUUUCAUUCUGCAAGAGAGAGAGCUCUACACAAAAAUGUAUAAUAUAUUUUCUUACCUUGAAUCGUCAUCCAAUAAGAACGAGCUGCUUACAGCAUUGUUCGUAUCCUCUGUCAUCAUUAUUCUCAUGUUGGAAAUGACCUGAAAUUCGGAAGAAAUCCAUUAAGCAUACUGAACAGUAGCAUUACAGUAGCACGAGUAGAAAUUGACGACUUACCUCCGACGACACACUAUGUGUCCCGUAUUUGUCAUCCCAGUACAUGGUACUGAUUCUGUAUAAUUGUUGUAUGCUUAAAACCUGAAGACGCCACAAGAAAGAGGAUAAAGGAAAGGACAAGGGGCCAAAAACCGAUUUCGAAUGCUGAAAUGUAUUAUCCAAUGAUACUCACUGGACAAAGAUCUGUGGUUAUUUCUUUCAAGUUCUUUUUUGGCUUUUGAUGUAUCACCUGAAUGGAACCAAAGACAAGUAAGCAAACCAAGAUUAAGGAGAACAUUGCAGAUAACAAGAUGAGAUCUUUGAGUACCAAAAAGCCAACGGCUUGUCUUAUGUGUUUCAGUUCCUCCCAUGCUGGGCCUACAAACUGGAACGGAUGAAAAGUUGAAGGUGGUCAAUGGUUUUCCAAAGAGAGUAAAAGUGAGUAACAAGAUACCAACUAUUCUUACCUCGUCAGUUGCAUCAUGGCACCACUGUUCCAAUUCAGCCAACCCUGUCUUUACAUACUCUCCAUUGCUAAAUGAGCAACACUCUCGACGCAACAGAAGACUGAUCAAGAUCAAAAGUUUAGCUGUUAAAUAGUUACCUGUUUAGGAUACAUGAAAAGUCUAAAGAUGAGAGUUACCUGUUAAAUAACUGAACGUUGAUGAAUGAGAAUAUCUGGGUGAUUACCUUCCGUACUAGGAACGGAGGUACCUGUAGUAGGAACACCACAUUCAAGAACUUAUACUACCUAAACAGUAGUAGUAGUAGUAGUAGUAGAAGAAGAAGAAGAAGAAGAAGAAGAAGAAGAAGAAAAACCGAUUCUUAUCAACGUUCUCAGAAGUUCCAACUCACAUAGUUGGCUCGCAUUGUUUUCAAGCAAUUGUCCAGGCAUUUCACUAUGCUUUGCCAAUGAGCUACGAGAGCUUGUUGAGCCAUGGCAUUAGCUUGAGAACGUCCCUUGGCUAAGCCAGCCCUUGAUGUCCGUGGUGCCUGAGUGUAGUAGUAACAUUCCAGAUAUGAUUAACAAGAGUACUGAGUGUCUUGGUUCCUUCUUAUUAAUUUAUGUAUUGUCUGGUGUACCUACCUGGAUGCACAACCCAAUCAAGGGUGAUAUUUCUUUCUUCAAAUUGUCUCUUAUCAUUCCAUAUAUCUUUUCCAAGAAAGCCGUCAACUGCUGUUUGAAAAGCAAAGCAGGAUAUUUGGCUUCUACUUGUCGCAACUCCUCUAAACCUCCAAUCACUCUGCCAUUGAGGAAUGAGAAGCCAGCACUUUGUGGAGAACCGCGGAAUCCCUUAAACAUCACGAGUCAAGCAGAAAAGCAACUGGUAUUAGAAAUGGAUCCACAUGUGAAGACGGAAGAAAUAUUAAAAGCUCAUGUCCUCCCUCACCUGGGAUACUCUCCCAAACAGAGAAGAGGAUGUCGAUCUUCGCCGUUGUGGAGUUAAGCUAGCAGCACCAGUUGCUUUUAGCGUCCGUUGAAGCAACAACAAGAGCGUUGCCGAAUUUGAAAGCCAAUAAGACAAUACAUCGUUGUUAUCCUGGGCCUAUCAGCGGCAAUUGUCGUGAUAUCAGCAUUAAGUAAAAGCAGAGCUAUAUACAUCAACCCUAUAAAAUAUGUAUUUUCAGAUUUUAAAAUUCUACCAUAUCAGCAUAUUUAAAAAAUAGAACAUUCUCAAUGAUUUUCUCUUUUUAACCAAUCACCUUUUAAAUUUCUUUUUUCUUCAUUUUUUUAUUUUAAUUUUUUAAAUUCUCUCUCAUACUCCCAUCUUUCUUUUCCCUUUUAAUUAGUUUUUCCUUCAUAAAUUUUUUAUAGUUUACUCAAAACAUAUUGUUCCCUUUACAAAUGUUGUUCAUUAUAAUUUUUCGUGUAGAAUGACAUCAAUUUUUUUAUAUUUCAUUUUAAAAAAAAAUCAUCUAAUAUCAAAAUCAACGGUCAAUAAUAUAUACAUGAUUUAAUAUCAACUAUGUCCAAUCAACUUUAUUUGUUUUACAUAUAUAUGUUUAUCGGGUAUAUGUGUUNNNNNNNNNNNNNNNNNNNNNNNNNNNNNNNNNNNNNNNNNNNNNNNNNNNNNNNNNNNNNNNNNNNNNNNNNNNNNNNNNNNNNNNNNNNNNNNNNNNNNNNNNNNNNNNNNNNNNNNNNNNNNNNNNNNNNNNNNNNNNNNNNNNNNNNNNNNNNNNNNNNNNNNNNNNNNNNNNNNNNNNNNNNNNNNNNNNNNNNNNNNNNNNNNNNNNNNNNNNNNNNNNNNNNNNNNNNNNNNNNNNNNNNNNNNNNNNNNNNNNNNNNNNNNNNNNNNNNNNNNNNNNNNNNNNNNNNNNNNNNNNNNNNNNNNNNNNNNNNNNNNNNNNNNNNNNNNNNNNNNNNNNNNNNNNNNNNNNNNNNNNNNNNNNNNNNNNNNNNNNNNNNNNNNNNNNNNNNNNNNNNNNNNNNNNNNNNNNNNNNNNNNNNNNNNNNNNNNNNNNNNNNNNNNNNNNAAUUUGAAAUAACUCAAAAGUGAGUUAUUUGAAAUACUACAGAUUUUGUGUUGGAUGCCGGUAUUUUGACCCAAAUAACACAAAACUAGUUAUUUCGGCCAAAAUACCUCACCCACAUAUCUCAUCCAAACGACUCAUAAGUAAAUUACAAUACAUUGUUGUAUAUACUGUAACAUUAAAUUAGGUGAUUGAUUGUAAACACUUAUGUUCUCUUAGUUUAUUAAAAUUGAACCAUAUAAUUAGAUUUUGAAAAGAUACAAAUUAUAUGUGCCCGGCCAAAAUGGAUAAGAUGCUAGUCAAUAUGAUGAAUUUUCAUACAUGCACAUAAAUAAAUAAUUAACAAGGCCAAUACUUUUAGAAGGAAACAACGAAAUGUAUGUUAUGCUUGUCCAACACUGCUUGGUUCACCAACUGAGGUUGAUGAAUUAUUACAAGUAGGACACAGGUUUUAGGUGUUACCUCAAUUGCUGAGCCAAUCGCCUGAAUAAUGCGGUCAAAAAUACUAGUCCUUUCAACUUCAAACGAUCUCCACUGAAGAAGACAUUUGUAUAUCAGAGAAGCAACAACAGGUCUGCCGCCAGAGAAUCCAAGAUCUUGAGAUACACAUUUGAGUAGCAGGUCUUGUAUUUCCUGCAGGCCAAAGCAUCAAAGGUAACAUAAAUAGCAAGCUACAACGACAGCGUAAAAUUUUCCAGGAAAAUGUAAACCCAGAUUCCUUAGAAUAGGCAUUAUUAAGAAAAAAAAGUUACGUGCUGCUUUUCAUUAAGAGACUUCUGGGGCUUGUCCUCAUUUUCAGCCUCCCGUGUGCCCGGCAAAGCCAGUAUUGAAUCCUACAAGGGUCAGAAAAUCGAGACAACAGUUUCAACCUACUACAUAUCAACAUAUAGGAGGGGUGGGUCCGUGGAGAAUACAUGCCAUCAAUAAGGCAUAAAACACGUACCGGUGUUCUCCUUGCUUCUGAAUGUGGGAUACUUCCAUUCUCUGGGGUUCUCUGUAAUUAAAAGAAACAAUCAGCUCUAUCUACAUGCAUUUUAUCUCAGGUAUUAUCCAAACGAAAGCCAUUUUUACUUGAAUGAUUGUAGUCUUUGGUCUAAUAGCCAAAGCUUUUGCAGUUGGUGAUAUAGCAAGUGCUUGUUGGCGAAGAACUUGAUUCUCUGACUCUAAGUUGGAUACUUUCUCUUCAAAUCUGGCAGUAAGAUCAGCACAGCGAUUAGAUUGAUAAUCAUAACACACCCAUCACAACAGGCAUAAUGUACAGGGUCGACUGAAAAAUUUAGGGAUCGGACAACUGUCGCAAACCUUUGAGCUGAAUCCUGAAGUUGAUCCACCUUCUUUUCUGAAUCUUGGAGCUUCUUACUAAGCUGUUCACUCCGAGACUGGGCGGCUGUGCAUGCUUGUUUGGCCUCUUCUGCUUCUCGUCUUUGAGAGACUAGUAAGGCCUAAGGAAAACAAUGUUUCAUCAAUUUGUGGUUCUUCCUUGAAACUUCUACCUUGGUUGCAAAUGUUAAUAAAGUAAUCAACCCUUUCAUUAGUCUUGACAUGGAAUUAAUUAUCUCAUUAUGAUUUGAUGAAACCAGAGAGAUGGAUACAAUCUAGAAAAUGCAAACUGCAAGCAGAUCAACAUCACUACACCAUAAUACGUUACCUCCAAGUUUUCAACUUUAGCAGUUAAAAAGUGGACUUUCUCUGUGUCUUCAACUAUAACAGGGGUUUCCUUAAUAACUGGAGGUGCUUCUCGAAUAGCUUUUUGUGCUGCCUCCUGUUCCUUAAAAACCAAAGCCUUGGCCUCUUCAACUCGUGAAUGCAUAACUUUUAGUGCAUCUUGAAGCUUGGCAACUUCUUGAGAUUUAGCAUCCUCGAGAUCAGUCUAUGUUUGAGUGCAGAAUAAUCAGCUAUGUUGAAACUGGAGACUAGAGACCAAUUAAGUAUUAAUUUAACAACGGCAGGCAGUACCCUCAGUCGUUUUUCCAAUUGAAGGCGCCACGUAAGUUCUUCAACACGCUUUUCCAACUUAUCCUUUGCUUCUUUAAGAGCUCCAGUGUCUCUAGCAGCCUAAAUACAAUCAUAUGAAUACUAAGCACAUAUUUUCCCUCUCAAUGAUACCAUGUACAUGCUGACAACCAUCAACGUACCAUUUUUAGCAUUCUGAGCUCUCUUCUAGCAACUCUGCAUCUCCACCCACAUUGUGUAGCAAUUGUAGCCUUCUUAAGAUGUCUAUAAUAGGAACGAGCUUGAUAGCUACGCCAGUCAGCCUGAAAACCAGUUAAGGAAAAUAACAACGAUACUCCAAUUUGACAUAAUAGUAACACCCUACUUCAGAAGAUUGAACAGACAUAGAAGAUAUGACUAUACCUGAAUUACAGUGGCAGCUUUAGUUUGUUUUCUGAACCUGAACUCAUUGCGUGCAGCCAUUGCCCUUAAUCCAGUCUGCAAUGUGAUUGCAGAUGAUCGUUUCAUUAAGUAAGAUUUUCUGGCAACAAAGAGACGGAAAUUUUUCUGAAUCUUUACAGAAGCUGCUUCCCUCCUCAAAUGCUCGAACACUUUGCGGGCCUUGUUACCUAAGACAUGAAGGAUAAAGAAAUGUUAAGGGGGGAAAUGCUAAAAGCUUUCCAAUUUUAUGAACAAACAACCUGCCACUUGACUAAUACUCUUUUCACUGUCACAAAAGGAGCCCUAGUUUCUGUCUACUAAGUUGUUGUUCAAUCAGUUCAUGUGUGCUGUUUAGCAUUACAUGAAUUCUGCAAUCUCACGGUUAUAGAGGACCAAACAGUCUGCUUUCUAAUCAUGGUAAAACCAUUUCUCAAAAUAAAAAAAUCAUGGCAAAGCAUCAAUGUGGCAUCUACUCAUACAUCAGCAGGACAAAUAACUUACAGGAACCAUCGCUUGCUAAUUGAAGUGAAGGGAAUAAUAUCAAUCACUCAACAUAGUCUCCUAAAUCACCUCGUAUAUAAGACUGAAGCUCCAUAGCUUCUUUUCUCAAAGAAAUGAACUCCCUGCGAGCAAAAUGAGUGUGGAUUUGUCGCUGGAUGAUUCUGGCUGCAUUUCCAAGUACCUCUGCUCUCCGAGCAUCCAACUCAGCCAUCUGACCUGCUCUCAAGAAUACCUUUGUCUUGCCUAUCUGCCAAAUGUGAGUUGCAUGUGAGUUUAUGCUUCUAAGUAUGCUGAUUUGAUGUUUUUUAUUAUUAAUUGAAUUUGAUUUUUAACAGCCUACACUAGUGUACAGAGACAAGUCUCAAUAUGCAUCGCCACCACAGCACAUGUUAACUCCUUACACUAAAAAAGGAGAACAUGGUUCCCAGCAACACAAUGUAGGAAAAUCACUAGAGAUAGAGGGGCUGGAAAAGGAGCACAAAUGUUGUAAGACCAUAAAAGUGAAAGUUACAUCACCUGGUAUCCUUUCAGUCCCUUUUUAUCGAGAAUCAGUUGGCAUGCAACCUUAUCAUCAUAACUGCAAGAAAAGAAGAAAAGAACUUAGAAAGUAAUGUUUCCUAUCAUCAAUCCAAACAACGAAACUGCAAAAAAGGCAAAAGAAUUAGAAAGUAUGUUGCAUAACAUCAAUUUAAACAACAAAACAAAGCAGCCAAGCAGAAUCCGUUUCAGAUUUUAUCAUACAUUAACAAGGAAGAAUAUAAUAGGAACAUACUUUCCAUCUAAGACUUCUGGAGCCAGAAGACCAAAACGAUUAAGAAACUCAUAAAAGGUUCGCCUUGUAGGGUAUCCAGCACAGCUAAUCCUAAUUGCCUCAAGAACACCCUGUUUUACAAUGUACGAAAAUGAACAACUUAGUAGAAAGCAUGAAAGAUACAACAGAUAGAUUCCGGCGAAAAAGGAAGUAAAUUUCUACAGGUAAAACAAUUAAAGAUGUUUCAGUUUAGUACUGACCCCACAACGUAACUGGUGAAUGAUAUUGACGCUCUCAAAAAUGGCAGGCUUCAGAACAUUAUUAGGCUUCACACAUCUAAUGUAGUGGGGUUCCGUCACACUCAAGGUCUCCAUCAGAGAUUGAAGUUGUAGCUGGUACCAGAAUAAUAACAUGAACUCAAAUAAUUUUCCGCAACAGAUAAUAACCAUAAUUUUCCGCAACAGAUAAUAAACGCAUAUGAUUAAAAUACAGGAAAUAUAAUAAACAGAACGUAGAUUUAUGAAGGAACAAAAACAGACAGCCAAAGGGUGUUGCUCUUGAAGCACAAGUGCCAUGUGAAUGUAAACAUGAGAAUGAAAAGGAACAAAAUAUGUAUCUAUUACCUUGAACCGAGAACCAAUGGAAGAAAACUUAGAUGACUUCAAUGAUUCUUCUUUAAGUGUAGGGAACAAUCCCACAACAAAGUGGCAUUGAGAAGCAGUCAUCAGAGCUUGAUGUUCAGCUAUAACAUAAUCCUUAUUUUUAUCCAAAAACUGAUUGGCUUGAUAAUUCACCUUCAAACACGCAAAAUUAUAGGAAACGAUGAAAAAUUCAGCAACCGUUUGAUUUGAUGGCAAUUUUUUUGACUUAUUUCAGAUGACAGUAAAAUGAUUCUACCUCCCCUGCAUAGUGCAAGAUAGUGAAAUCUGUACAUGAGAGCUUUGGUUUGAUAAAACGCUUGUUGUUUUUAAAUGUCUGAUACAGCUUCUGAGCAAAAGUUUCAUGGGUGGACUUUGGAAACAUGCUGCAAAGACAUUCAUAAAGUCUGAAUGGAGUCCUCAAACAUAGUGGGGACGGCAGGAUCCAAAACUUAAAAGACCUCUAUUUGAGCAUGUUGAAAACUACAGCGUACCAGGCUUCAUCUAGAAGAGAAAUAAUUCCUCCAGGUUUCUGCAAAUAGCCAAAAAAUCAGUUAAGUGCAUUACUCGGGUCUGAUAAUUAGAGUGACUCACUAAGAUAAGAUAUCUUAUCUGUUAACCAUUUGUAAGCUUUUAGUUAAUUAACAGCAUGUCACAAGUGGCUCAUGCCGAGAAAUGAAAAUUUGCGGGUAAAUAGUGUCUCGCUACAGAAAGAAUGCUGCAGAAGUGUUAAGACCUUCUCAAUCAGAUCCAAAACAUCCUGAUUAUCGACAAACUCUAUGUAACUCCAGUUAAUCUCCUCUUUGGUAUACUCUUCCUGCUCCAUUUUGAACACAUGCUGCACUUACAAGCAAUUGAGUAAAACAUAUUCGAAGGGUAAACCUGAAUGCAUAGGUAGGUGAAGCGAUCCCACCUGAUUGAAAUGCUGCUGUAAUUUUUCAUUGGUGAAAUUGAUGCAGAAUUGCUCAAAACUGUUUCACAGUCACAAACAUAAAAACAUAAGGCAAACAACAAACAGUUUACUUGGUCUAUCUUUUGUCUAUAUCAGCAUGACAUCAGAAAUCUGACAACUGAUUGUUUUCAGUUUCGCACAUGACUAGAUAAACAUUCAGACACUUGUAGGACUUCCUGAUGGUAGCUCUAAAUUGCAUCAAUCCAAAUGGGAGAAAAAUAUGUUUCACAAGGAGCAUGGUCCCAUGAACAGAGUUCCACAUAUUUACCAAGUGUUGUAUGCAACAUACAAAAGGGUACAAGAGCACAUACCAAUCCAACAGAGAGUAAUAGAGUACAGAAAUCUGCACCAAAUAACAACCAGACAAUGGUAAUGACUUGCCUGUUGCACUUAAAGCUUUCAAAACCAUAUAUAUCUAGAACCCCAAUUAUUGAUUUUGAUUCUGGGUCCUGCCCAAUUGAAACGUUUAACUUUUCUACAAUCCUGGCAAACAAUUGAGAGCAACAAUUAGUAAAUUAUCACCAUGGCAGCAAGAAAUUCAUUUGUCUAAUUAGAACAUCAUCAGAAGUUCAAGAAAAAUGUAUACCAAUCAAAAAGACGAGAGUAUAGAGUCUUAGCCAAAGCAUCUCUACUACCGAGAGCAUUCUCGGGAUCAAGUGUUCUUGUGAUAAUUUCUUCAGGUGUAACCAUUACACGUUGAAUAAGGGCAUCUUCCAAGCUCUUUGGAUCACACCUAAGUAUGAGACAGGUUAAGAGUGAUGCAGGAGUAGAGUAUAUAACUAUGUUUUAAAAUAUAUGGGCAUUUCAACUGGUCAUUUGAAGGAUAAAAGAACCCCACCUGAGGAGCUCUGAAGUUGUAUCAAGAUGAAAUCGGGAUUUAUCAUCCUUAAGCUUUGAUGAAUCAACCUCUGCUCCUUUAGCAAAUUCAAUAUUUCCAAGGUGAAGAAUUGCUGCAACGACCCUAAAAAUUGCUUCCUAACAGCAUUGCAGACUGUUACAAUCUAAUUUGAGUAUUUGACUGUGUUUCACGAAAUAAGAAAUCGAUCAGAUUUUAGAGACAAACCUGUUCUUCUUCACUAAUCCCAACUAUAUCCAUUGCUCUUCUGGUUUCGAGGUACUCAUGGGCAUCAUUUAUCCCAUCCAGCUCAUAACAACUUGAUUGAUUCAAAUAAUGGAAAAAUUUUGGGCUCCCCAACUUGUAUUUUUCUUUAACCUAUAGGCAGAAACAGAAUCUUGUAAGGUACUUACAGGAUGAAUACAUUGCUUGGUAUCAAAAGCACAAAGACCAAUUGUUGAAUUACAGCAAUAAUUAGGAUAUGAUUAGGCAUAGAGAUUAGAGUAAGCUAGCUGUCCUAGUUUAUCUAUCUAGCCUGAUUCGAUGCAGUAUAUUCGUAGUAAGUAGUAGGUAGAGUAAUCCCUGAUUUGUAGGGAUUAUCAUAAGGUGAUUCUGCACCCUAAUGGUGCAGACCUUGUAUAUAUGUAUAAUUGGAAACACAUAAAUAAUAUCAUCAUACCAGAAUCAUCUUUAUUCUGAAUUUCUACAUGGUAUCAGAGCGAGGGUACAUCCACUAGAUCUAAGCCCCGUUCGUUCUUCCUCCCGUUCUUUCUUCUUCUAGACUCCUAUCUCUGUCUCUAACUCUCGUCCUCACGGCAUGGCCAACACCAACGCUGAAACCCCUCGAACCGGCAGCUCCCCGCCGCCCCGCCCCCCCCCCCCCACAGAAACACCACCCCCGCCGCNNNNNNNNNNNNNNNNNNNNNNNNNNNNACUCCAGCAGCACGAUCAGAAUCUGUCCUAGGCUGCAUCACGAAUCACAGGCUAAACGGAGACAACUACCAACAGUGGUCGUCAUCCAUUCUGAAAUUCAUCUCAGGGAAGGGGAAGAGAGGAUACCUGACUGGAAAGACAAAACAGCCAGCAGAAGAUGAUCCGGAAUUCGCCAACUGGGACAUUGAGGACAAUAUGGUCCAGUCAUGGCUCCUGAACUCAAUGACCACGUCCAUUGGUGAAAAGUUCCUUCUCCAUCAAACUGCUCAUGAGAUCUGGGAUGGAGCUAGACACACAUACACCAAUCAGACCAACAAAGCUGAAGCCUUUGAAGUGGAGAUGCGCCUCCAUGAUCUCAAGCAAGGGGAUAAAUCAGUCACUCAGUACUAUGACGAAAUGAUACAAGGGGAUAAAUCAGUCACUCAGUACUAUGACGAACUGAGCAAAUGCUGGCUGCAGCAGGACCUGUACGAUGUCCAUCUGUGGAAGUGUACAGACGAUGCAGAGCUCUAUCGGCAGAUUCUCCAGACAAAACGGACUAUCCGUUUCCUCCUUGGUCUAAAUCAGGUCCUAGAUGAGGGCAAGGGUAGGAUUAUGGGCCGUCUCCCUCUUCCUUUAGUCAGGGAGGCGUUUCCUGAAAUCAAAUGGGAAGAGAGCAGAAGAAAGCUCAUGAUCCCUGACUCCAAGAGCACUCCAGUGGAAGGAUCUGCCUUGCCACUCAUUACAUUGGAAACCAAGAAAAUGCUUACACCAAGUCUGGAAAGCUACGUCCUCAGUAGACUCACUACAACAUGUGGAAUUACAACAUAUGAUUAUGUAGUAUUAGGCGUAGGAUUAGCAGAAUAAUAUCUAGCCUAAUUAGUAGCAGAAUAAUAUAGUAAGAUUGUAGGUAGGGUAAUCCCUGAUUUGUGGGGAUUACCAAGAGUCGAUUCUGCUCCCUAAUGGAGCAGUGUCUGUAUAUAUAUACCGAUAUCAAACUGGAAUAAUAACAUACCAGAAUUCCUAAGCAUUCUGGAUCUCUUUACAACAAGAUGGGACACACGAAGGAGACGUGUUGGAAGCUACAUGGGAAGCCUGCCGACUGAAAACCUAAGGCAGAAAGGGAGGCUCAUGCACAGGCUGCUGCAACUGAGCAAGCACAACAGAUUGGUCAGAUCACCAGAGAACAACUUGAGAUCCUCCAGCAGAUAAUGGCUCAAUACACUACUAAGAAGGCAUCUGCAGGUCCCUCUGACACUCACCACAGCCUGUUUGCCAGCCAAGGUAUUAAAUCUGCUGCUUUCCUUACUCUAAAUCAGUUCAAACAACACUGGAUAUUGGAUUCAGGUGCUACUGAACACAUGACUGGUUUCAGACAGCUACUCCACAAUAUCCAGGCUCAUGUACGGCAAGCAGGAGUUCGUAUUGCUGAUGGAACCAUAGCUCUGGUUGAAGGAAUUGGGACAGCCUACCUGACCCCUAAUCAGGCUGUGUUCCCUGUCCUAUAUGUUCCAAAACUGAAUUGUAACUUGAUUUCUGUUAGUCAAAUUACACAAGACCUAAACUGUCGACUAACUUGUGACCCAUCACAAUGUGUAUUGCAGGAGGUGGGAUCUCACAGGAUGAUUGGCAGGUUUGAACUGUGUGAUAGACUGUACCUUCUAAGGACAAUAAGCGGAUUAAGACCAGGAGGAGAGGGUUCCAAGUCAGUUCAUUUGAGUUCUAAGUCAAGCUAGUUAGAAUGUCCUGUCAUGAUGUGGCAUUACCGGUUAGGCCACUCUAGUUUUUCUUAUCUCAAAAAACUGUUUCCCAAGCUUUUUAUCAAUAAAAAUCCAAGUUCUUUCUAUUGUGAGGUCUGUCAACUUGCCAAGCAAACAAGGGUUGUCUAUCGUAGUCUACCAUACAAGCGAACACAUCCUUUUUCAAUCAUACACAGCGACAUUUGGGGCCCAUGUUCUGUCAAAACAGUUAGUGGGUUUCGAUGGUUCAUCACCUUCAUUGAUGAUCACACCCGCUUAACAUGGACAUANNNNNNNNNNNNNNNNNNNNNNNNNNNNNNNNNNNNNNNNNNNNNNNNNNNNNNNNNNNNNNNNNNNNNNNNNNNNNNNNNNNNNNNNNNNNNNNNNNNNNNNNNNNNNNNNNNNNNNNNNNNNNNNNNNNNNNNNNNNNNNNNNNNNNNNNNNNNCACACCCUGCCAAUGGGAUUGCUCACAGUAGCUCUUGCCCUUAUACUCCUCAGCAAAACGGGAUUGCUGAGCGCAAAAACCGUCACUUGCUGGAAGUUGCAAGAGCAUCACUGUUUGCUGCUAAGGCUCCAAAGACUUUGUGGGGUGAUGCUGUUCUUACAGCAACGCAUCUUAUCAACCGACUCCCAAAUCGAAGCCUACGUUUUAAAACUCCUCGUAGUGUUCUGCUCAAAGUUUUCCCUCAUAGUCAUGCUCUAUCAUCCGACCUUCCUCUUAGGAUAUUUGGAUGUACAGUUUUUGUCCAUUUAGAUUCAUCUCUUCGUACUAAACUCGAUCCUAGAGCAGUCAAGUGUGUCUUUCUUGGAUAAUCGUCUCAUUAUAGGGGUUUCUCCAAGUAACCACAAAGUCUAUCAUUCCAAAAAUGUCACGUUCUUUGAACAUCGUCCAUUCUACUCCCACUGUCAGCCUCAGGGGGAGAAUUCUACUGGUGAGUCCAUGGGUGUUGAGUCCUCCAUUGGUAGUAUUAUUACUCUAGAAUCUCCGGUUGUCCUAGAGCCUCCUAUGGUAGUCCAAACCUCUCCCACGGAAUAAAGCAGCCAAAUCCCUCCUCCUCUGGUCUAUCAGCGUAGGAAGAAGAUUGCAGGAAACACACAUGCUCAGCCUGACUAGGAAUUUGAUGAGAACACAGCCCAGCCUGACCAGGAAUUUGAUGAGACCUCAACCUCCCAAGAAAGCAAGUCAGAACAAAUGGACCCGGGGGUUGAACAUGGUGAUGUUGUCAGGAGUGGUGACCAAGCAGAGGAAACUCAGGCUGCGAGUACAGAGGAGACUCAGGUUGAUGAUACAGUCUACCUUCCAAUUGCUCACAGGAAAGGAACCAGAUCGUGUACAACACAUCCUAUUGAGAGAUGGGUCUCCUAUGGUAAUCUAAGCCAGAAGUACAAGGCAUUUGUGGGGACUCUCGACAACACACAGAUUCCUCACUCCAUUGAAGAAACUAUGAGUAUACCUCACUGGAGGGCAGCGGUGUUGGAAGAGAUAAAUGCACUUCUGAAGAAUCAGGCAUGGGAUACAGUACGGUUACCAGCAGGAAAAUCCACAGUCGAUUGCAAGUGGAUAUUCACAAUGAAGUAUUUAUUUCAAGUGGAUAUUCACAGUAAAGUAUACUUCAGAAGGGAAGAUUGAGAGAUAUAAGACUCGCCUCGUAGCCAGAGGAUUCACACAGUGUUAUGGAGUGGACUACGAGAAGACAUUUGCUCCGGUAGCCAAGCUUAAAACUGUGAGAGUUCUCCUAAGCAUUGCAGUAAAUCCAGAUUGGUCUCUCAACCAACUAGAUGUGAAGAAUGCUUUCCUAAACGGAGAUCUAAGUGAGGAGGUGUAUAUGAAUGUCCCGGCAGGCUUCACUACUGAACCAGGAAUGGUGUGUAGACUGAAGAAGGCAUUAUAUGGCCUAAAGCAGUCACCACGGGCAUGGUUUGAGAGGUUCUCUCAGUCGGUGAAAGGAUACGGGUAUUAUCAGUGUCAAACUGAUCAUACUAUGUUUAUAAAACAAAAUCAGGAAGGAAGAAAGGCCAUUCUCNNNNNNNNNNNNNNNNNNNNNNNNNNNNNNNNNNNNNNUGCAAACCUGCGAGCACACCAAUGGAGCACAAUCUGAAGUUUGCUCUUGGCCAAGAAGUAGCACCAGUAGAGAGGGGGAAUUACCAGAAAUUGGUAGGAAAGCUAAUAUACUUAGCACACACUCAUCCAGACAUUUUGUUUCCAGUGAGCAUUGUGAGCCAACAUAUGCACAAUCCAAAUGAAGAGCAUAUGGAGGCAGUAAUGAGGAUUUUAAGAUACCUAAAGGGUACACCAGGUGUUGGACUGCUGAUCCAAAAACACGCUGGACGCAGAAUUUCUAUCUAUACGGAUGCGACUUGAGCUAGAGACCUUACGGGUCGAAGAUCAACCUCAACGUAUUGCACCUAUAUGUGGGGGAACUUAGUGACCUGGCGGAGUAAGAAACAAACUGUCGUCUCAAGAAGCAAUGCUGAAGCAGAGUGCAUGGCACUGGCAGACGGCAUUUGUGAAGGAAUUUGGUUAAGGCGCAUUUUAAAGGAACUCAAGAUGGAGAAUGAGAGUCCUGUUAGAGUGCUGUGCGAUAGUCAGGCAACAUUAAGCAUCGUGAGGAAUCCAGUUCAUCAUGACCGUACUAAACAUGUUGAACUGGAUCGUUACUUCAUUUCUGAGAAAGUAAAUAACAAGGAAUUCGAGAUGGAGUACGUUCCAUCUAAGCAGCAGAUCGCAGAUAUUCUUACUAAGGCUCUACCUAGAGAUAUGUUUGAUGAUUACAAGGCAAGUUUGGCCUCCAUAACAUCUACAACCAAACUUGAGAGGGAGUGUUGAAUUACAGCAAUAAUUAGGAUAUGAUUAGGCGUAGAGAUUAGAGUAAGCUAGCUGUCUUAGUUUAUCUAUCUAGCCUGAUUUGAUGCAGUAUAUUCGUAGUAAGUAGUAAGUAGAGUAAUCCCUGAUUUGUAGGGAUUAUCAUAAGGUGAUUCUGCACCCUAAUGAUGCAGACCUUGUAUAUAUGUAUAACGUGAAACACAGAAAUAAUAUCAUCAUACCAGAAUCAUUCCUAUUCUAGAAUUCUACACCAAUGACAAGGAAGAGAAGCAAAAGAGAAAGCUUUACCUCAGCUGGUGCUGCACAUAGAAGAUAAAAGCAAUGAUAGUUUCUUUCUGGAUCAGAAAUUUGGCACACCCGAGAUCUCUCAAGCAGAUAAGUCCUGAUCGCAGCACCAGAUAUUCUGCCGCUCUUGUCGAAUUGGAUCUCCACAAACUUUCCAAACCGACUAUAUUAUGAACCACAAUAAAAUUAAAGGCAAUGAAGAUAGUGAAGGUAGAACAUUGAUGCUCAGGACAUCAAUAAUGAGAGUCACGUCAUUCCUUUUAUAAAGCUAUGAAGCUUUACCUUGAGUUAUUGUUGCGAACAGUUUUGGCAUUACCAAAUGCUUCAAGGACAGGAUUUGACUGCAUUUAACGCCAAAAAAACAUUACUAUUCAGGGAGUAACAGCAAUAUCAAAGACGAAGGAAAGUAAAUGUUAUUUGACACACAGAAAAAGACUAUGUUUACCUCCAGAACUUGUUGUUCAACUGUCCUUCCUUCUACUCCAGAUCGCCCUCCUAAGAAGGCAAGAUAUCUCAUGAGCAUCUUUGUAGUCUCAGUUUUGCCGGCACCACUUUCACCACUAACCAGGAUUGAAUUACUUUUUCCGUCAUUAAUCAUUGCCCUGUUUGCUUCAAUCUCAGGACAUCAGUAAGAACAAGUAAAGAUUACAAAGACGCAGUGCCAUAAGAAAACUAACACCAACCUGUAUGCAGCAUCUGCCACUGCAAAGACAUGAGGACUUAGCUCCCCAAAUGCAGCACCUUUAUACUGUUCCAUCAUGUGAGUAUCAUAGAGAUGGGGUAAUCUUUGAAACGGAUUGACAGCAAUUAGGAUAUUUCCGGUGUAUGUCUGAGAAGGUAAUGCACAAACAUUAAAGUUGGUACUCAUAUAUCAAUUCAAACAAGUCUCUCUGUAUAUAAAAUAGGGCGAUAAUAGCCAACUCACAUAGAUUUCAUUAAGUUCAUAUCUAGUAGCCAGAUUUUGCAGAACUCCAGGUUCGUGUAAAUAUGAAAGCUUGGUCAUGUCAUCCACGCCCCCAGGUGGGGCUUCAGUGUCCUUGGGAAAUACUUUUGAUAUACUUGUAACCACCUGUAGAAGCCAUCGUUUACACAGUUCAAAUUAGAAAGAGCAGUCAGUCUGCAGAGGAAGUUAAGACCAAGAAGAUUGAGAAUUUACAUUUUUCCCAUUCGUAGUUUGUACAUGGACGUCUUUGCCACUUAUCCUAGUAACUUCACCAUCAAUCCAUGCCAACUUGGGAUCUUCAAUCCACACAUGAGAACCAACAAUUAUGUUGUCUGGUGCAGCCUGAAAAAUGAGAAUUUUGCUAAAAAUAGUGGAAAUAUAAUUGUUUGAUCCAAGUCUCCAAAUAUGAUUUCAGCAUUAGAUGGGAAAGGAUUACAAAAUGCAAAUUUCCUCAGGAAUGUAGAUUGCGUACACAAACGUGACACAAAUAAAAUGCAGAAUACUCAUUUUAUGGUCAGAGUUCACAUCUAAAAAUAGCCCAAAGCUCAUUUGCCGAUACAAACUCAUCUUUCUGACAUAAACCUUGAAACCUGACACUCUGAAAGAAUUGCCAAGGAAAACUAACCAGUUGCCAAAUGUCAAAAUGCCCACAAAGCAACUAACUAAAGAUACUUGCAGAAUAUCGCAGUUGCAAUGGAGAAGUCCGAUGUAGUCAAUCAAAAUUCAAACGGAAUUCAAAAGCUAAUACAGCAAAACCCAAAAAACAAGGAAGCUUCAUACCACAACUAAAGUACAAAAGGAAUCACGAAAUGAAGCCUUAGAACGCCAUAAUCAACAUCUCAAAGAAUCAAACAGUAGCAGAUUAAUAAGAAGAGGAGAGAGGAAGAAGCUAGUAUAAACAAUAAAUUGAAAGACUCCAGCUUUUCAGCCCGGAAUUACCAUUCGAUGACACCAAAGCAACAGAUCCUUGGGCUAACACAAUCCUCCAACACUCAUGAAACCGAAAGAAAACAAACCCAGUUCUUCAAAUGUCGAAAAGGGAAGCAAUCAAUCCAAUAAUACACAAGAAGUAUCAAAUCCUCAGCCAAACCGAAAGCAACCCCACAACUUUUUUCUCCCUUUCUUUCUUUCUUGUCUCUCUCUCCCUGAAAGUUUCAAAUGAACCUGAAACGUAUAUACCACCAACGACUCCUAAACUGUAAUGCGAGACUGCAGUCUUCUAUGAAUCUCUCUCUAUUUUGAAAAAAGGAAGCAACUUUGGAGGAAAACCAUUCCUGAUUGUGUGUGCCUCUCUCUCUCCCUCAAAUUUUUUAUGAGUUUGCCGGUGUUUGUUUCUCUCUCUGAAAAGUUUGAAGUUGUUUCGAGUUUUGGGUUCUGGAUUUUGUUUGGGUCGGAUUGUCCCCACAAACAACAAACGUCUGUUUCUUCUUUGGGUUUCAACUCGUUAAAAAUAGAGGAGAAUUGAGAUUACUGCUGCAAAUGAGUCUUUAUGGUCUAAUUAGGAAGGAGUUUUAAGUUUCCUCUUGCGAGUUUAGGCUAUUUGCAUAUAAACCCCCUUGCCUUGCUGGCCCCAUCUCUCCAUCAUACCUGUUUUCAAAUGUUUUCAUAACGGUAUUGAGUACAAGCCAGGUAAGAAAUUUGAUGAUUUAAUCGCUGUUUAGUAUCAGUUCAAUUGUUUAUUAAUAUUAAAUAAAAAAAUAAAAUACCGUACGGGAUAUAUUAGUAAUAAAACCGGAUUAUACUUGCAAUACAUAGAGUUAAAUUUCACUAUUAUAUGGCUAGCCAUAUAUCGGACAAUAAUAUUAGAUUUACAAAAUAUACUAAUGUUGACAAUACACUUGAACUAUCACCAGGUCAACUUGUUAAUUCUAAGUUCACUACACCCAAAAUUACAAGUAUUCCACUAACAUUAAUGGACCUCUGAAUAUAAAGUUGACAGUUCAAAUUUCACAAUCUCAACUUGGAAAUUCAAGGUUCACUAUAUACAUACACUCCCCAAAUUAGAAGUUCUUCACUAAUAUCAAGUGAUUCCAAAUGUGUUAUGGUCAACGAGAGUAGAUCCACUCAAUCCAAGGCCAAAGUCGAUGUCCACGGAUGUCUCACCACCUUUAUCUCCAACAAGAAUCUCCAGCAAGAAUCUCCAGCUAGAGUUUUGGUUGCUCGUCGAGAUUUAUGAUAUCCCAAAGCUUUUAAAUAGGCUCAAUACCCAAAUCUAACCGAAAGUUCCAAAAUUUUAACAAAUUUAACCCGAAUUAUUUUAAAACCGGAAUCUGUCAUUAACGGUCUUCCAUCACAUUUCCCGUCUACGUCGUCCGUGUAUUUGAACGGAAGUUAAGGGGCCUUGUGCACUGAGAAACGUGGACGUCCAGUCAGAAAUUAGAACCCACUUGACUGUGAGAAAUUAAAAUUCACUCCAUUUCCCUUGCUUCCAAACUCAAUCGUCGCUUUACUUUCCUUCCAUUCAAACAUGAACCCCGAUGAGAGAUUAUAUGAUUCAUCGAGGUUUGCAUUCUCAGUGAUGGUAUCAACGAUAGUAGGAACACAUGACAAAGAGACGGGAGGAACGAUAACCAACAAGUAUCAACCAGCUCUAACGGUUUAGGGUAACUGAAGAAGGAGGUUUUGUGGUUUCUGUUGGAGGUGCUUAGGGUUGUGAAGAAGGAGGGUUUGUGGUUUCUGUUGAAUGGCCCUAUCGGCAGUAGCUUUUGUUGGUAUGGAGGCGAGAAGGACUUGUGUGGUGUGGGUGAAUGAAUAUAUAGGGUUUCAAUCUUUCUGGGACCACAAGGUGAAGUAACUCUCCUUUACCGAAUCUUUUUAUAUGUACGUUUUAAUUAAAGGGUGACAUUGGAAAGGGUUGGAGGUCAACAUCGUCGAACAUUUUGAGAUUCACAAUGGUAUUGCCAGCUUGUGGUUGACAGCUUAUAGGUGGGAGUUAUUAAUUAGGGUUUCUUUCUAGAUACAAUUAUUUUUUAAUUCUUGUUUAGGGUUGUUUGGAUUUUUUAUCUUAAAACCUCAAAUUGGCAUGAAGUAUAACGUAAUUACAUGUUUACACAUGAUCUUUUUUUAAUUUCAGAAAUGGCGGAACUAUAAAAACUUUUAAAAUUCAUGGAACGCUAUUACGUUUCAUCUGCUUUUGUAGACAGAACUUGAUUAUUUUGCCACGUUGGAUGCCAGGUCAUUUUAGUUGACCACAAAGUUGAAAUUUUUUAAAGAUAAAAUCCUAAACUACCCAUUCUCAUUCAUCUAGCAACCCUAGCUAAGAUCUAUCAUCGAUAAAUAUUUCUUUUGUUAAUCAAUAGCUUGACAAAUUGUUAAUACGACCCGCAAGAAAUAACAACCAAUGCCGACAACAACCUAUCUUCCUUCAAUGGCUCAAAUGCUACACACUUUUCAUCCCCCAACAUUUGGUAUCCCAUCAUCCCCUAAUCCAAAGAUUAAUCUACUAAGAAAUAAUCUCCACAUCGACACUAGUAACAAAGCUCCAACCCGUCUCCUCUUUUUUCCACCACCACGAUCACCAUAUGCUCCAAACUAUUGUCUUCCAAAGCUUCAGAGUCUCCCUACAACAUAAUAAUAAGUGACUCGGCUAUAAAAUUUAGGGUCUUUUCUCUAAGACAAAGUAGGACAUGGAUCAAAUUGGUCUUCCUCCAUCACUAAUUCGAGUCGAUUCCCUCAUUACUUGUUGGCUAUAGUUUCUCAUCGACAAGGCUAUGCAAGAAUCCAUCCGUAUUUUGUCCCAAUUUCAUCAUUUUCUUCUCCACGCCUCUGUAAUCCAACGCACCAAAAAAUCAAUUUGUAAUCAUUGAUAUUAGAGCUUUCAUGCAAAGCCUCCAUCUCCUUGAUUAUGUCUUGAAACUCCUUGGCUACUUCAUCCACCACGUCCUCCUCGACAUAGUACCUUUUUCCGACAAUCAUCCUCAUCACCGUGUUGGAAGUCAAAUCCGGGAGUUUCUCUAUCUAAUAUUAGAUUGCUUAACAUCAAUAUCAGAAUUUUUACUAUUCGGUUCGAUUUGAACUAAGAGUGGAACAAAAUAGAAGUAUAAAAAGCUAAUUUCAUUUUCAUUCUCCCUCCUUUUCCCGUUCUAUUCUCCUUUAUCUUAGACAACCAAGUGGUGGCAUAGUGUGAAGAAUCAUAGACGUUAAUUAGGUUAGUCCAUAGUCGUCCUCAACCUCCUAGUGUAUUUGCAAUACAUGUUAUACUUGUCGCGACGUUCCUCGAGGUCUCUAUGUUGUAUUACUUUGGGUCGAGGGUUUCAUUUCAUUUUGCUUAUAGUGGUAAUUAUGCGGGUUCCUUCAUCAAUAACUAAUAGGAUGAUUGCUUGUGCUAGGAUUUGUAGUGAUUAUUUAUCCCUACCUGCAUGUUUUUUGAGUGAAUAUUAGCUUGUUCGUGCUUCAUUCCCGUGUGGUUUUUGUUUCGUCAUUAUGUGUCUAGACCCAUUCACUUGGACCAUUUCGGUCCAUUUGAGGUGUUUCUUUGUAGUAUUUGUUAUCUACAUGUAAUUUGGCAAUAUGUGGUUUGGCUAUGAGGCUUUGGAUGCGGAAUAGAGCACAAAUGGAGCUCAAACAGAAGGAUGAAACAAGAAAUGGUGAAGUAGAAGAGUUACACGCCGUGCAUCACUGCACGUCGUGUAGUCUUAAAUUACAAUUCAAGCUGCAUAGAAAAGAUCAAGGAACGUCGUGCAUGGGUGCACGUCGUUCACCGUUAUUAGGGACAUGACCAUUUCCAGUACAGGGGGUGCACGACGUGCACCUCCCGGAUUCUGUAGUUGCCCUAUAAAAGGCGAAUUUGAGGAAAGAGAAAGAAGAUCUUCCCUAGUAUAAUUCCUUUGAUUUUUCCACGACCUACCUUUGAAAAAACACCAUAGUCCCAUCCCUAGGAGUUAGAUUGAAGAUCGGGAUGAGUCCCCAUUGAAGAUUGAAGCUAGGAUUGAAGCUCAAAGAUCAAAAGUGACGAUUGGAGCAAGUACGAUUCAUUGUCUCUUCAUCAAGAUGGUGGUUAGGUCUUAUUGUACGUUCUUUUCGUCUAGAGUCAUGAGUAGCUAAUUCUUUAGAGUUUCUUGAUUGGGAUGUAAGAAUUGAGCCAUGAUACUCUCCCUAAAAGUAUAAGGUCGACGAUUGUUGGAUAAUUAGAUUUGAAUGAAAGAUUGCUUUGAUUAUUGGGUUUUCAACCUUGUUCUUGUUACGAAUUGAAUUAGGUCAAAUCUAUGAAAUCCUCUAUUUGAUCGACUCUUGAAUUCAUAUGAUUAACAAUCUAAGAUAGAACAAAGUUAACGGUUGGGUAAGCCAAUAGCUCGAUUCUACCUUUUGUGCUUCUUUAAGUUUUAAUGGUUAUUCAUCAAAUAAUUGGCGGGCACUCUGGUUUGCACCUAAUGGACCAAGUUGGGUGUAGUUAUCAGUAGCUUAAGUGUUGAUGGACCAAGUUAACACUAAUUCCAAUUACUUGUGAUUUCUUUUAAUUCUUAAAGAGCACCUUAUCACUUUGUAGAACUUCUCCGUGUUCAUUACUUGUUAGCCUAAUUGAGGAUAUUCCAACCUUAAUUGGGAAACUAGUAGUGGUAAUCUACGUGUAUGAUCGUGCCGCAGAUUCAUAAGAGUGACAAGAGGAAUCAUAUUGUUCAAUCCAAAUCCAACGUUGCUCGAUCUGACUACUAUUAGGAAGUUGAGCUUGAUGAAUCAUCCCUUCCAAGAACUUGUUCUCUCCUUCGGAUCGGACCUAAAUUGCUAGUUUAAAUGAGUUAAUAGAAUACUUAGACACCAAAAUCAAUUCGUCCAGUCUAGACCAUGCUGGCGAGUUUGAGUAAAAAGUAUAAUGAGAGGAAUCCUUGGACACAUAAGACACGUGUGUUGUUGAGAUAACUUCACAGUUAUUUUGGCGAUCUAGUUUUUGGCACCAUUGCCAGGGACUCUCUCUCGUUGCUUUGAAAGGAUCUAGUCAGUGCCGCUGUAGGCAUUCGUCUCCAUUUUUUAACUUAUGUUUUCUCUUUAUCUUUGUUGUUUAGCUUGAGUUCCACUUUGGUUUGUUAUUUUUGGAUGUGCAGGAUUUUAGGUGUCGUAUAUGAGACAAUCUAGUUGAAUCCGUGAAUGACGACUCUGGAAUCUACAGAAUAAUCAACCAUCACCUUGAGCUAUGUUUCCUCCUCAUCAACAAGCCAAAGGUCUACCCAUCCUCAACCUAGAGGUUGUCCUACCAUCGCCUUCACCACCUCAUUCAUCACCUCCACUGUCACCACCUCGCUCCUCACCUUCAGCAUCUUCCUCAUCACCAACAGUUUCUUCUCAGUCCAGUUCUUCAAGUGAAGAAGAAGAACUCGAGGAACCAACCAGAAUGGGAGAUCAGCCCCGAACACUUGGGGACUAUGCUAAACCCACAACUGUGGGCACUGGCUCGAGCAUAGUCCCUCCGGCAUUUGACAACCAGAAUUUUGAAGUCAAGACUCCAUAUGUUUAGAUGGUACAACAAAGACCAUAUUCAGACAAUGAUCAUGAGUGCCUGAGUCGGUAUUUGAGGCAUUUUAAUGAGAUUGUAGAGCUCAUGAAGUUCAUGCAGAUGUCAUCCCCAUGAAGCUCUUCUCCUUCUCACUCCAGGGGAAGGCAAAAGCUUGGCUGGAUAAUCAGCCAAUCAAUUCAUUCCUAGAAGAAUUCUUUCCACCAUACAAGACGGAUGCAAUUCGGGGUCAGAUCGGUAAUUUCUAGCAAAGAUAUGGAGAGCUCUACCAUGAGACUUGGGACCGUUUCCAGUCCUUGUUGUAUUCAUGCCCCCAUCACAACAUGGAGGAUUGGACCUUGGCGAACAUCUUGUGCAUGCUCUCGAUCAUGAGAACACGCAAAUGAUCAAUCAAGCUACAUAAGGGGAUUUGAAGUUGCUCACCCCAACAAGGUGUCUUCAGCUAUUCAGGGAAAUGGCUGGGCAGACCAAGAGUUGGGUGCACCAAUAAGCACCAAGGAGCUUACAAGAACCAAGUGCACCAUCAUCGUCGAGCAAGCCACAACAACCUCUCAAAGACAACUCCAACCGGUUCCUCCAUCUUCUAAACUCCAAGGUUAAUGCAUUGGUGCAUCACACGAAUAGCAUGGCCUUGCCUAAGGCACCCAGCAAAGAGGCUGCACCACCUCCAAAACCUCAACCAAGGAAGGCAAUGAUGAUGUACUAUUGUGAGGGUUGUGGACAUGAAGGACAUGAUGUUUCAUCAUGUCAAAUUUUCUUAGAGAAAGGUGCUCCGGAAGAAGAUGUGGAGAAUUUCGAGCAGGUGGAUUAUGUCCACGGGGUCACAACCAGCAAGGUGGGUACAAUCCAGGUGGUUACCAAAAUAAUUAUCGACCGAACCAAGGUGGAUACUACAACUAUCCAUGGAAUAAUAAAGGUUACUAGAACUACCAACAAGGUCUGGGACCUUAAGGACAGGCUCCAAACCAACCACAUGCAGCUCCUCAAAGACCUCAAGGGCAGUCAAAUUAGGGGUACAAUUAGGGUUUCCAAGGGAAUCAAGAAUACCGCCAGGGAAAUAAGAGGUUAUCCACCCAAGGACACCAACAAGGCUUUAAUCAAGCCUCUCGAGCACCUCCUCCCAGAUUCCCACAAGCGGUUGCACCCCAAGUUGGACCAUCAUUUUCCUCAAAACCUCCAUUGGACAACAAAACCUCUCUACUCUAACUCAUUCAGAACCAGGAAACUUCCAUCCAAAAUUUGGAGAUUCAAAUGGGGUACGUCAGCAAGGGUCUCUCCAUUCCGCAACCGGGUACCUUACCCGAAUAUACCAAAGAGAAACCAAAAUGUGAAUAUGCUGAAUUGAAGACCAUCACUACUAGGAGUGGGAAACAAAUAAAUCCCAUUCCUAUCAUAGUAAAGCCUCCAGUGACGGUUCCCCUGAAGUCGAUUACUCAAGAUGAUGGGUCAAAUGAAGUUGAAGAUGAAACCAAAGAGGAGGAAGACGAAGCACUCCAACCUCUCUUGGAUUGCGGGGCACCAACAAUUUCCAAGGGAGCUGCGUCUAGCUCUAAACUGAUAUUGGUACCUCACCAGCCUAAGGCGCCAUAUCCCAACCGGUUGGAUAAAGAUUCUCGUGUUAGGAGUUUUGCUCAGUUUGUACAGAGGCUUAGAGGAGUGCAGCUCACACUUCCCUUCACCAAAGCCAUUUCAAAGAUGUCGAUGUACGCCAGGUUCUUGAAGGAAAUCUUCACUAAUAAGAGGAAGUUGACGGAAGCUGCAAACAUCACCCUCAAUGAGCAGUAUUCAGCCAUCGUUUCUACAUUCAUCCUAGAAAGCUCAAGGAUCCAGGUAGUUGCCAUAUCCCUUGUAGAAUUGGUGAACAAGAUAUUGAGAAGGGCUUAGCCGACUUAGGUGCUAGUAUAAAUGUGAUGCCAUGUUCUAUUUAUAGAGCACUAGACCUAAGUGAACUCAAACCAACUAAAAUGAGAAUUCAAUUGACAGAUAAGUCACUUAAAUUUCCUAGAGGGGUAGUAGAAGAUGUCUUUGUGAGAAUGGGAAAUUUGGUGUUCCUAGUUGACUUUGUGGUACUGGAUACCUGAGAUACUAACUUAUCUAUUAUCUUGGGUAGACCCUUCCUCAACACGUUGAAAUAAAUUAUAGAUGUGUUUGAGGGGACUCACACCUUGUGUGUUGACAAGGAAGAUGCUACUUUUAAGUUAACUAGAAGCAUGAAGUUUUCUGAUGCUCAGGAUGAUAUUGACGAUAAUGAUGUUGAACUUGAUGAUGUGAAUGCCAUUGCUUUGGUUUUUGGGAUUAAUGAUUUGUUCAAUCUAGAUGCCUUUGAUUCGUCCUUGAGUAAUCAACUGUUGCAGGAGUCACCCGAUGAACAGGAUCCAUAUAUAAAUCAGACUGAGGAUUGUAUAGAAGUUACUCCUCUCAUAGGAGUUUUUACAAUAAAGAAUACGUCAUACGAGGAACCACCCGAGCUCAUGCUUAAACCACUCCCAGCUCAUUUCGAGUACGCAUUCCUCGUAGAAGGCUGCAAAUUACCGAUGACCAUCAGCUCAUCUCUCACACCGAGCCAGAAAGAGAGGUUGGUGGAACUUCUAAGACAUCACACGGUGCCAAUUGCAUGGCAGAUUUCAGACAUCAAAGGCAUUAGUCCAAGCUCUGCAUGCACAAGAUUUUGAUGGAAGAAAACUUUCGUCCGGUAGUUCAACCUCAACGGCGACAGAAUCCCAAUUUGCAGGAGGUUGUUCGUAAGGAAGUUGUGAAGUUGAUGGAUGCUGGCAUUAUCUACCCCAUUUCAUACAGCGAAUGGGUUAGUCGGUGCAAGUGGUGCCGAGGAAAGGAGUCUUCAACGUUGUUGAGAAUGAUAAGAAGGAGCUAAUCUCCACUCAUACGGUUACGAGGUGGAGAGUCUGCAUUGAUUAUAGGAGGCUUAAUGAUGCCACCUAGAAGGAUUAGUUCAGCUCCCGUUCAUGGACCAGAUGCUCGAACGCCUCACUGGCCACGAGUAUUUCUAUUUCUUGGAUGGGAUGUCAGGAUACUUCCAGAUUCUGGUACCUCAUGAGGAUCAAGAGAAGACGACGUUCACUUGCCCUCUCGGCACCUUUGCAUAUAGAAGGAUGUCGUUUGGGUUGUGUAACACCCCACAAAUUUUCAGAGAUGCAUGCUGGGAAUCUUUGCUGACUUGGUGGAAGAAAUCAUGGAGGUGUACAUGGAUGAUUUCUCCGUGUAUGGCUAUUCGUUUGACCAUUGUUUGCUAAAUUUGAAGAGAGCGUUGCAGCGUUGUGAAGAAACCAACUUAGCCUUAAGUUGGGAGAAAUGCCAUUUUAUGGUCCAUGAGGGGAUCAUACUCGUGCAUAAGGUCUUUGGAAAAAGGAUUGAAGUGUAUAAGGCGAAGCUCGAGAUGAUAGCUAAUCUUCCACUCCCUUCUUCGGUCAAAGGUGUUCGCAGUUAAUAGGGCCAUGCGAAAUUCUAUAGCCGAUUCAUCAAGAAUUUCUCCAAGAUCGCAACACCCUUGAACCGUGUCCUUGAGAAAGAUGCUCCAUUCAUGGUCACCAAUGAGUGCAAGCGUUCUUUCGAGCUUCUCAACGAAAAGCUCACAAGUGCACCAAUCCUCAUCUCUCCAUAUUAGUCGCUUCCAUUUGAGCUUAUGUGCGAUGCUAGUGACUUUGCUUUGGGAGCUGUUUUGGGACAACAGAAGGGUAAUUGGUUUCACCUAUCUACUUUGCAAGCAAGUCCCUAAAUAAUGCACAGAAGAACUACACCACCACAGAGAAGGAGUUGUUAGCUGUGGUGUUUGUAAUUGAUAAGUUCAUAUCCUAUUUGGUGCUCUCUCACACCAUGGUCUUCAGUGACCACACGCCUAUCAGGUAUUUGAUGAGCAAGACAGAUGCAAAGUCGUGCCUUCUCCGGUGAAUAUUGUUGCUGCAAGAGUUUGACCUCGAGAUCAAGGAUAAAAGGGUUCCAAGAAUGUGGCUGCAGACCACCUCUCCUGCUUGAUGGAAGAGGAGAUACAAAAUUCGGAUGGGAUCCCCAUUCAACAGUGCUUUGCAGAUGGGAGGCUCUUCAUGGUCGUUGCUAAAGUCAUAGAAGGGUAAUGGUUCCCUAACAUAGCCAACUACCUCGCUAGUGGAUCCUUCCCAAAGGACGUCACCCCGCAAGGAAAAUGGUAGAUUUUGACAGACAUGAAGAACUACUUCUUGGAUGAUCCAUACCUAUUUCGCAUCGACGCGGAUAAGGUGAUUCAACGAUGCGUCCCUUACUACGAGAAUUCAGCUACCUCAAACACGGCCACGCUGGGCCAACUGGAGGACAUCUUGGUGCUAACCGCACCGCUCGAAAGGUAAUUGAUUUCAGUUUCUUUUGGCCAAAUGUCUAUAAGGAUAGUUUUGAUUAUGUGAAGUCUUGUGAUAGAUUUAAAAGGUCUGGCAACAUCUCUAAUCGGGAUGAGAUGCCCCAAAAUGUUAAUCUUGUUUGCGAGAUCUUUGAUGUCUGGGGGGUAGAUUUUUUGGGACCAUUGAUUAGUUUCUAAGUGGGCAUAGGUCAUAUCUCUUCCCACUAAUGAUGCUGGAACUGUUGGGAAUUUUUAAUCAAGUUGUUCUCUUGGUUUCGGAUACCUCAUGCUAUCAUUAGUGAUAGGGGUACCCAUUUUCAGGUCAGUUUGGCCGGGUGUGCAACCGCUUUGGUGUCUCACACUGAUUCCCUACUGCUUAUCACUCGCAGAUUAGUGGGCACGCUAAGGUGACAAACCGAGAGCUAAAAGAAUUUUACAAAAGUCUGUCGACCAAUCGAACAAAGAUUAGCCAAGUAAGCUCGAUGACGCCCUCUUGGCUUAUCACAUCGCGUACAAGAUGCCUAUAGGGACCACUCCCUAUAUACUAGUCUAUGGAAAGUCUUGCUAUUUACUAGUCGAACUAGAUCGAGCUUACUAGGUUUUAAAGUUUCUCAAUAUGGAGGCCAGUGCUAUAGGUAAACAGCGGACAUUUCAGAUACAUGAGUUGGAGGAGCUUCAACGCCAUGCCUAUGAGAGCUCUAGGAUAUACAAGGAGCGGACCAAGAAGUACCCCUGACUCCCAUUUGAGGGCCAUCAAAGAAUUCAAGGAAGAAGACAUUGUCCUCCUCUUUAACUCAAGGCUCAAGCGGUUUCCUGGGAAGCUGCAAUCCUGAUGGAGUGGUCUGUUCACUGUCACCAAGGUCUUCCCUUAUGGGACUAUCGAGGUAACAACAUCAUCCUCCUCUGAACCUUUCAAAGUAAACGGUCACCAUUUAAAACUCUACCGAGCCGGUGACACCAUUGGUGUUGUCGACGAGGUCAAUUAUUUCCCACUUUAAAUUGUUCAUGGGAGGACGUCUAGCUAAAGACUAUAAAGAAGCACUCUCAGGAGGCACCCCUUGCGUAUCUAUAGUUAGAAUAAAGAAUAAAAGCCCUUAGGUUGUGCUUGGUGUGAUUUUUUCUGUGAGUCUUGUGUUUGAGUGGAGUCCUGAGUCAUUUAUUCGUGUCCUAAAUGAUUAUUGAUGUAACUCAAAUGCUAGGGAGCUGUAUGUUAGCUUAGGAGGUUCCAAGUAGCAAUCGUUCGAGCUUUGAUAGGUGAUGAGAUCUAGGAUCAAGAAGGAAUCGUGGGCACCACUUUUCGAAAAGAGUAUUUCCACCCUUACAAGCCUUGGGUAUCAGGAAAUCCCUUCCGAGGAUAAGACCGUCUUACUCAAGUUCUUAGGCUUCAGAUACUUGAAUCACUGUCAUAAUUCGUAGGCUAGGAUAGAUGUUUGUUUCUAUGUCUUUUUCUGCACACUAUUGCCUCCUUUAUAUAGGCAAGGGGUCAAGGACAAAAUGGUGUGAGUAUCUUGCACCAAGAGGUGCCAUUAUCCCCAAGGAUAAGACUUGUAGGCAACAACCAUGAAGUCCCUACGGUUUUUGGAGGGAAAACAACUCAGAAAGAGUUUGAAUCAAACGAAAGGGUGUGUGCCCAUUCGUCCUAGGAGAGAGUGUUACCACUCCUACUACCUAGCUCCCCACCUUCACUCUAGUUCAGCUUACCGCAGCUAGUGACACUGUCAUCCAGCUCAAGGCUGAGCUGGACAAGCUUCAGUGUCAGUCCCUAGCUUCAUCUAGCUCAUAAAGGAGCUGAUGCUAGCUAGUUUCAGCUAGCUCCUGAGCUAAAGUGAGGUUUCCCGUCAACUCACAUAUUCGUCUUAUCUUUGGUAUCACACCAAGGUCAAGUCCAUGGUGCAUAUUUCCAACAUUGUGUUUGUUGGUCGUUGAGUGUGGAAUUGGCAAAAAUUGAAAAUAAAAUCCUGCUUUAAAACUGACAUGCACGCCGUGCACCCCUACAUGUCGGGCAGGUCAAUUUUACAAUGCAACUCGUAGCAAGUGCACAGCGUGUACCCCCUUUUCUGAAAUAUGGCCCGUCGCAAAAUAGGGUGAACAGCAGGUAAAAAAAAGUCGUAUCCAGAAAAACCCAAAACAAAUUUACCCGAACCAAAACCCGACCCAGCCCCCUUAUCCGAUCUCUCCACGCGUUUCUCCUCUUCUCCUUCCCCUUCUUCCACUUCCCGACUACCCUCUAUCCAUCUCCAUCCCCAACCACCGCCAACACCACCCAGCACCACACCUCUCUGCCACAGCCUUCCACCUUCGUCCCCUUCUUUCUUCCGGUCGUCCGCCACAACACUAUCCGAACACCACCACAACUCCACCAUCCCCAGCCAUCACCACCGCCCAGCCUUCCACCCGACCCCGCUGGCGCUACCUCUAGUCGGUGCUGUCGCGACCGCUGUGACCACCCUCUCCUAUCUCCUCUCUUCGUCUUCCUUUUCCUAACCCACCAACCACCUCACCUCCACACUCACUCAAACGAAAGCACCCCAUAAUCACCAAAAAUUCAAUUCGCACCCGAUUCGAAUGAUUCGGGGCUUCCCUUAGCUCUCGUCCAUUCUAGGACUGCCCCGCUCCAUCAUCCAAGAUUCAAUUUCGGUUAGUGCUUGAAUUUUUAGGUCAAAAUUUUUGAUUUCCAGAAUGUGGGUCAAUUUGAUAGAAUCAUUGUGAACCUUGUGCUUGGAAUGAUGUCUAUGAAUACGUAGGAUGCUUGUUCUUUGCCUGAACUUACUGUUCACUUGAUUUUUCAGUUUUUUUAUAUUAGUAGAAUUUUCGAGUUUAGCCUAUUUUCGAAAAUCUGAAAUUUCAAGUUGUUGUUACUGUCCAUGUGUUUCAUAUUCUUGUUUGAUGACUUGAUAUGCCUCUGCCCUACUUUUUUGCUUAGCCUCUUGUUGAUUCGAUGAAAUUUGCAAUUUUAUUAUGUGAGAUGAACUUGCUGGAUGUAACUGUGUUCUCUUGUGCUGCGAUGCCAUACUUGAUGGUUAUGAUGGCUGUUUUCUAUGACUAAUGCUAUUGCUAUAAAUUGUCAAUUCCAUCGACUUCUUUUCAUUUGGGACCUUUUGAUGGUUAUGAAGCUUGUUGUGAUUGCUGGAACUUACCCCUACCUGUUGCUAUGCCUUGGUUUAGCCAUAUUACUUAUUAAUGUGCAAGUUUACAUAUUAUGGAUGCUCAUUUGGUUUGAUUGUUCUUCCAUUGUGCUAGGAUGAUAGUUGUUCUUUCUUAAGAGUAACUAGUUAUUCUUGUCCUUUAAUUGAUGUUAUUCAUUGAGUUAUGCCUUGUCAUGAUUGAUUGGUUUGUUCUUAAUUUUGUGAGGAUGCGAACAUGCUUAUUGUCGGGAGAAAUUGAUUGUUUUAUGCGGUUGUUGGUGCAAACCUAAAUGCAAAUGUAUUGUCGAUUGAUUAUUGUUCAAUUGAUUUGCAAGAUGACUAGGAAGAAGUUUAUCGCUUCUGGUAUGGGGAAGGUGACUGGCACUCGAAAGAGACUACGACCAAAUACUCCAGAGUCUUCUUCUACAGUGGCUUCUCCACCUCGUGCAGCUCCCACAUGUACUCCUCCCCAUCCAAAGCGAGUUGUAGCCUCAUCUUCUUUUGCUCCCCAAGGACCAGAAAACGAGCCCAUUCCAACUGCUGCUUCAGCCUUACCACCCCCAGACUUGGUGCAGAGGAUCUUCAACUUCGAACAGGGGAGUGAGUUUGCCCGCCGAUACAGAGUGUAUCGGACUUGGGUAGUGACGCAUCAUGGAUACCUUGACAUUUAGGGCUUUGUGGAUAAAGGAUGGGACAGUUGGCUGAUUGGAUACUGCAACCAAGCAGGGAUUUGGCCAUUGGUACAUGUCGAUGAUCAGAAGCUCCCGCAUGUGACCAGGGAGGUCUACUCCACUAUCAGGAUCGCGAAUUACACCUCUACCCAAGAGGCGGGUAGUAUCACAUUUCAGCUCGGAGGUCAAGGCUUCUCCUUCCCAGUAGAUGAGCUAGGAGAGCAUAUGGAUUUUUACACCCGGGAGUAGGUGGUCAACUUGGAGGUGAUGUCGUUGGCCAACAUGGAGAAGAAGGCAAUUCUGAAUCCGAGGGAGUUUUGGCUGGAUAUCUCGUGGGGGUGGUACCACCUAUUUUGCUCACUCGUCAAAAGCGAGACGGGUUAAGUUGCCAAGGCUUAGGCUUCUCCUCUUGCUUUCUCAACAUUCCAUCACCGCCUGGAAGCAGGCUAGAAAUGGAUGGGUAGUGAACGCCAUAGACUUGUGGCUCUUUUAUUGCCUCGAGAAGGGAGUGAAGGUUUGUCUCAGCGACUUGUUGGUUGGGUUGUUUAGGCGUUUCCUCGAGCAGAGAGGGAUGGGAGUUCUAUUUGGAGGGAGCUACAUUGCACGGCUGGUGUGACAGCUUGGAGUGUUAAAUGCCUUUGGGUAGGACCCGUUGUAUCAGCGUGGGUUUCCCAUCAUAGAGUUCCCAACCUGACAGCUUCUAUUUGCCAGUGGACCCAAAGCUACAAGAGAGAGAGAGGUUGCAGACUUCCCAGCAGAGUCAGUUGAGACACUUGCAGUCCAUAUGGGGAUUUGUAGAUGGGUGUGAGUGAUUUUCUGGACAGUCAGAGGGGACUCAGGCAUGACUUUCAGAAGUUAGAAGAAGACAGCUAAGCUGUAGAGCAGAGAGACUUCAGAGCGAUAUGCGAGGACUUUGCCAUGAUAUUCAGCAGUAUGCCACUGAGACUAGGGACCUUAGGGACGUCAGGACAGGCAAGCUGAGCAGUUUUCCAAGACUCAGGCUCACCAGGGCUAGUGGAUACAACACCAGGGCCAGCAGAUCACUUACAUCCACCAGCAGCAGCAUUGGCUUAGUGGACACAUGUCCUACUUAUCAGGACAGCUACUUCACCAAAGCGACCUUUCCUCCUCUGUGGCCAGCAUAUUCGCCAGCACCAUAGUGGCCUGAAUAUGAUUUGUACCCUCUGUUUUCGGGGUACCCAUAUCCUCCACUAGAUCAGUGAUUGUUUAGGACGUAUCAGUGACUUAGACUUUUGUGUUUUAGUUUUUCAUUUGAGACUUUGUGAUUUUUAUUUCUCUUAAUUUUUCUUGGUGGUCUGUAUAACGAAUGAUAACUUCAGUUACAUCUAUCACAAGUACAUUGUUUUUGUAUGAGUGGCACGUUCCAAAAAUGGUUGUUCUAUCACAUCUCACCAUCAAACUCCAUUUCACCAACUCAAUUUGGUAUCAAUUAUUCUCUUCUAUAAUGUGACUUCUUGUGAGGGUAAUGUUGUGGUUUGUGGGAUGAAUUAGGGUGCUAGUAUUUCACUUGAUUGCUUUGAUUGAAUUCUUGUCUCUUAAUAUUUGAAAAGCCCUCUUAAACUUGAAAACUUUGGAUGAUUUGGAUACAUGUUUAGCAUAGUAUUGCUACUUGAGGGUGAAUAUGAUGCAUGAUAGAUCAUUUUUGGGCCGCCUCCUAUUUUUCUAGAAACAAGUUUAGAAUAAAUUUAUCUAUUUGGUUACUCAGUCUUGAUCUCUACCGACUUUAUGAAUAAUUAAUUCCCCUAUUGAGUUACUCUAGUUGUUUAAAAUCAUAUUUGACUAGAUGGUCCGAAUAAGGUGCAAAAGAGGCCAAUGUGUCCAAAUUUUCAUGGGGGUUUGGUUGCGAUUCAGCACACUGGUGACUUUGAGUCUCCUGCCUGCAAGCUAGUCCCUUCGGGCUUCUCUUCUCACCCUUUUCUAGUUGUGGGUCGGGGUUUUUUAGGUAAACUUGAUCUAUAUGGAUGAGAGCCUUAGCCUGAUCAGUGUCACAACUACCCCCACUUGGAAAGAUACCCCGAAAAGCUAUACAAUUUUUUGUAAGAUGGGGUUGCAAUUAAUUGAGUAAUUAAAUUGACCCAUAAGUGUUUAGUAUAUCAUGUAUAUAAAAAUUAUACAAGAAGAGGGGAUUGCUCUAGUUAGAAUAAAUUAUUAAAGUAAGCACUCCCUCCCUCAGGACGGGAAAAUACCUGGCCAAUACCAUAUGCUUUGAGCAUAAGUGAUAGGGAAAAUGUUUUUAUCGGUGGGUGUUGAGUGGUACAGUUUCCCUAUAAAAGUCAGAAUUUGAGUAAAUGUUUUCUACAGUUUCCCUAUAAAAGUCCGAAUUUGAGUAAAGAGAAAGAAGAUCUUCCAUAGCAUAAUUCCUUUAAUUUCCCAUGAUCUACCUCUGCAAAAACACCAUAUUCCCAUCCCUAGAAAUCCGAUUGAAGAUCCAAAGGAGUCCCCCUUGAAGAUUGAAGCUAGAAGAUUAAAAGCGAAGAUUCGAGCAAGUCUGAUUCAUUGUCUCUUGAUCAAGAUGGUGGUUAGUCUUAUUCUACUUUUUCUUCUUCUAGAGUCAUGAGUAGCUAAUUCUUUGAAGUUUCUUGGAUGGGAUGUAAGAAUUAAGCCUGAUACUCUCCCUAAAAGUAUAGGAUCGAUGAUUAUUGGAUAAUUGGAUUUGAAUGAAAGAUUGCUUUGAUUAUUGGGUUUUCAACCUUGUUCUUGUUACCAGUUGAAUUAGGUCAAAUCUAUGAAAUCCUCUAUUUGAUCAACUCUGGAAUUCAUAUGAUUCACAAUCUAAGAUUGAAGAAAGUUAAUGGGUGAGUAAGCCAAUAGCUUGAUUCUACCUUUUGUGCUUCUUUUGGUUUUAAUGGUUAUUCAUCAAACAAUUGGUGGGCACUCUGGUUUGCACCUAAUGGACCAAGGUGGGUGUAGUUAUCAGUAGCUUAGGUGUUGAUGGAACAAGUUAACACUAACUCCAAUUACUUGUGAUUUCCUUUAAUUUUUAAAGAGCACCUUAUCACUUUGUAGAACUUCUCAGUGUUCAUUACUAGUUAGCCUAAUUGACAACCUUAAUUUGGAAACUAGUAGUGGUAAUCGGUGUGCAUGAUCAUGCCACGGAUUCAUAAUAGUGAUAAAAGGAAUCGUAUUGUUCAAUCCAAGUCCAAUGUUGCUCGAUUUGAUGUUGCUCGAUCUGACUACUAUUAGGAAGUUGAGCUUGUUGAAUCAUCCUUUCCAAGAACUUGUUCUCUCCUUCUGAUCAGACCUCAAUUGCUAGUUUAAUUGAGUUAAUAGAAUAAUUAGACACCAAAAUCAAUUCGUUGGGUUUCAUGCAUCACGACUUGUGGUGAUGAUCCCACUGAACUCUGUCAACUAUUAUAACAUUUCAUUCGAUUAUAAACCUCAAUCAAAUGGGAAAGGAAAAAAAUAUUCAUUUUAUUGAAACAAUUGGAUGUCAUACAUCUCAUGUAGAAACUCUACUACAUAAUGUAUGUACAAUUCUAAGCAGGUCUCAAACACAAUCUCCAACAACUUGUCUGAGUCCUUUAGCCAGGUGGGCAGCUUUAUGCUAGCACCGGUUAAAGGUUUAGACAAUGGAUUGAAAAUGUUAUCAUCCAUUGACACUUUGCACAGUCUGAUCAAGUGUCUCAUCACAUUAAUGUGCAUUGACAUUGUCUUGGGGUUUGGUUCCUUCAGCUAGGAAGUUGUCCAAUUGUUUUCACAAUGGAGCUCCAUUUCCUUGUCAUAAGAGCAUACCACCACAAGUUCUGUCAGAAACCUCUUGAUCCAGAAAGCUUACAUUACUGCUUCAGUAGAAGAUUGAGCCACUAAAAUUCCAUUUGGUGCUCUUCCAACAUACCAGUCUUUCAUAUAACAUGAAUGCGUAUCUGGAUUGUGACUUUGUGUCAUCAAACUUAGUCAUUUGGUACUUGGCAUCACUAUGCUCUUUUAAAGUUUUACCGUCAACUAUUUUUCACCCCAAAUACAAGAAAAUAAUCAUGGUAUUUACUACACAUGCUUAUAGCAUAUGGAUCUUCAGAUUGAGUACAUGUCACGACAUACAUGAUGGAUCCUAUAACCAGAUUAUAUGGAAACCUUAUCAUUUUC